rnacentral:lncRNA from 1 species
UGGAACGUGGCCGUUGCUGCUCAUUGCUGGUGUCACUGAUCGAUGAUGGAUGUUCGCUGUUAGUUUAGCUCCAUGGUAGUCCCUCCCUCUCUUUCAGGUUGCUGCUGCUGAUGGCGAUGAUAGAAAUGGUAGCUCUAGUCCCAUCUAGUCGUUGUCCUGGAUCCGAGUGGUGAAGUUGCUAGUCUGGUUUCCUUCCUGUAGGGUCCUGUGCUCGGACCACCCUCUGUUCCUUCGUUUUUAGCAUGUUUUAAUUCAGUCUCUGUCGGAUGUACCUAGUGUCGUGCCUGUGGUUGUUUUAAGAAUCCUACCCAGAUCUCAAUAUAUAUGGUGUUGAAAGGAAGCAGAUCGGUCUUGAUGCGUGCUUGCUUGAUCCUGUCACUCUGAAAUGUUUCUCUGUUUCGGUCUGUUGCUGGAAUGUUGCUCUGUCCUGUGAUGCAACGUUUCUGAAUGCUUGCUGUGGAGCCCUACAGUCUUGAUGUUUUGCUGAAAUCUGAGUGAUCCCAUGACUUCUGUUUGUCUAUUUUCUGAAUAUAAGAUGUUUGUGGUGUAACGAUGGAGUCUUGAUGUUUUGUUCAAAUCUGAGUGAUCCCAUAAGCAGUCGAUGGAUGAGAUUGUACAGUCUUGGUUUGCUGAUGCUUUUGACCACUCAUUUGUGGCAGCAGGUGCUGGAUCUGCGAGUAAGAUUCAGUAUACUGGUCAUCUGGUUGGCAGCAGAUGGUCUUGCAUCUGUGAACUACUACAGAAGUUUUUUUUUUGGAAUUUAUCUGUUGCUUUUGGUUCUGCCAACAACUCUCCGAUCUUGUCUUUUGUUGGCUUGUUGGUUCUUCUCUUCCUAGCAUCAACAUCAUGGCUCUAUCUAGUGAUGUGAAGUUUGUAAAAGAUCUUUACAUGACAUCUUCUGCUGAAAGUUGUUUUGUCACCUGCCUCCAAUUCGGUUUGUUACAUCAUUUUUGGGAUCCGAGCGUGACAUCAGUCUGACUACUCUUUUUGGGAUCCCAGCGUGACAUCGUCUGACAUCGCAGAAUGUUGUCAAGAUGCAGCACUACCUACUCCUGUGGAGAUGUUACGAUCCUACUGCUGGAUAUGAUUCUCUUGCUGCUGCUGGGUGAUCCCUUUUUGUCUUGUGCCAGCGAUUGUUGGAGAUACUGUACUCCAGUUUGUGUGGUUGCUGCAAUUCGUUCUUGCAUCUGUUUUAGGUCUUCUGAAAGUUUGGAUUGGAUGUCUUGGUGUGCCUGUGUUUUGGUUUUGGAGCAACUCUCCCUCUUGCUAGAUCUGAUGGGGACAUUUUUAUGCUGGGAAAAUGCACAACUACAGUAACCACUACACUACUUAUCUGAUGUGACUCACUGAGAUUUCAGGGAGACAAGUCUCUGCCAGCAGCGUUUUGGGUUUGGACCUGUCCAUCUUUUGGAGUUGCUGAUUCUGCAAUUUGUUUGAUCUGGAAGCUGGCAUGAGGUUCUCUAUGCUUACCUGGUUUGACUGUUGUUCUUUUGGUGAUGUACUGUGCUGUGCUUGCUCUUCAGUGACAGUGAGCUAACUUUUUGUUUCAGAAUGAUAAAAACACAUUAAGAGUCAGAAUGAUAAAAACACAUUAAGAGGCAAAACAUAAUUUCAAGCACAGAAAAUGCACUAGGAUGCAAUUCAUAGAAGAAUAUCAAGCGUAGAUAUUGAAAUGCACCCAUUGCUUUGCUUAAAAAAUGAUUCUAUUAGUGAUUUUUUGUGGUGGAACCCUGAAGUGUCUUUGUGUUUGUUUCAAUUCCGAAUUAUUUAUUAUGCAUCAUCUUCCUCGAUUGUUCUCAUUUGCAUAUCAUCUCCCAUGAUUGAUCUCAUUUCUCCAUUAUCAGGAAUCUUUCGUCAGUACAUUGUCUCAUUCUCCUUCUAGAUGCGAUUCCUUCUUGUUCUGCUUGGUCACAUGUGAGGAGUGCAUUUUGAUGCUUGCGUUAUGUCCCUCUCUCAGGCUCGGAACGACAGAGAUCUCUACAUGAGAAGUGCAAACUUGCUCAGAAAUCUUUAACCAUCGACCAAGGGAGCAUUGUCAAACCGGAUUGGUUGGCCAGAUCUUCAACAGUCAAAUCAUUUACCAACUACCAGUUGACUGAAGUACCCUUGAGGGGUAUAGCAAAAUUGCUCAUAGAUCUUCCUGUAUGCCUCAAAUGUCUAGUUUUGCCUGAAUUCCUACUCCAAUCAGUUUCCGCCGUGCGAGGCAGUCUGAUAUCUCAAAUGAACUCACUAAAAUAAAUGAAUAGAUAAUGACUUAGGACCACCACAAAUAAGACAAUGAUUGUUCAAAAAUCCUAAAAAACCAAGUGAACACGCGAUCAAAUCGGAUCCUAAACCAUGAGACCAGUCGAUAUGAUUAAGCAGCCCACCCACUCUAGCAACUUAUCAAAGGAAACUGGCUAUGAAUUAGUGUAAAUCGCAAACUCCCAAGACCUUUAUAUUGCAUAUGGUGGUGGUGGGAGUGGGAUGAUGCUUUGGUUAUUGUGUUAGUGAAUACGUGAACGUACUCGCAUUGCAGGUGAAGAGGGACACAUACACCCUUUAAAGGCUAUGGUCGAUGGGUAUUUAAAGCAUUGCAGCGUCACCAGUUGAUUGGGAUUUGGUUUUGCUUGGCAUCGCCCAGAGUUUUCAUUAUGUGCUUUCCCUAUUCUGUGCUCUUUGAUUACGUUUUAUUUAUUUAUUUUGUCUUCGGGAUUUUAGAUCUUAACAUCAGCUAUACAAAUGUUGAAAGGAAAUGGUACUAGACUCGGUUGUCUUGCUUCAUGUUAACCUUGUUCCUGGACAGUUCACACAAAAAAAAACCUUGCUCCUGGACGCGUUCAACUUGUGGAUUGCUUGGUGCUCUGCGCCGUCUUGCGAAAGUUUAUGAAUUUUCUGAGUAAAAUUAGGAUGUUAACCGUGCCUUAUCAGCUGAUGGAUAAGAUCAUGCGGAAUCUCCACGUGCUAGUUUGAAGAAUCCGACCGAGAUCUCAAUAUAUAUGGUGUUGAGAAGAAAGAAGUGGGUAUCGAUCCAUGCUUGUUUAAUCCCGUCCCUUCCAAAAUUUUCCGUGCUUAACACCCUUGCUGGGAUGGUGCCUUGUCCGAUGAUGAGAAGUUUCUGAAUGUUUGUGGGGCAACCCGGAUGUUUGCUUCAAGUCUGAAUGAUGGCAUGAUGCUAUGGAAAAAAUAUAUUCUGUUUUGUUGAUUGUCUGAAGCUUAAUCAGUUGAUGGAUAAGAUUGUAUAGUCUUGAUUCUAGUUCUGUAUCCGGUUUGUCCCUGUGAAUUGUGAUCUCUAGUGCUGUUGACCACUUGCUGUGGGGCAGCAAAUGUUCUUGUCAAGUGUUUGUCUGUCAGCAGGUUGAUCUUGCUUGGUUCUUCCAAGUUUUUCGGGACUUUUUUCUACAGCCUUUUGUUCUGUCGAGUACUUUGGGGUCUUUGUCUUUUCUUUGUUUGUGGUUGUGCACCGCUGUAUCAAGUGAUGAGAGCCUUCUAAAAUUUCUCUCUUCUUUAUAUGACGGUUGCUGAAAGUUUUGAGUUGCGUGUAAGGGGACUGAAAGUGACUUCAAUUCUCAACAAUUUUGUGCUUCUCCGUUGAUCUGGAGCUGGAUCCAUCUUCGUGUGAUUCGAGCGUGACAUCAGUUUGGCAGUACAAGAUGUUGGGAAGACACGGUACAUCUCAGUUGCUGUUUCAGUGCUGUGGUAGUAUACAACCGAGGCACGUGCUGCGGAAAGGCGUCGAGCUGUCACGUCGCUCCCGAGAACUUGACGGUGCAGGACACGGUAGUUUCUCGAAGCACGAAUGAUCGAGAUGCGUGACACUUGUUUCACCCAACUUUUAGCAUGGUAUAUAUAAACAUAAUAUUCUCGGCGAAUCAAUUGGCCGAUGAUCUGUAAUUACAUUCCAUCUCCGUCGAAUGUAUCUAAUGUCGUCCCUGUCCGUUUUCUUAAUUCUUAGACCUCAUACCUCAAUAUAUGGUGAUAUGUAUUUAAAGCCCUGUAUGGUACUAUAAGAGUUGUCCUGUUUAUUUUAGCCCUUUUUGGCUGGAAUGGUGCUCUGACCUGUGAUGCAAAGUCUGAAUUUUUGUAGUAGAUCCCUGAAGCCAACUCCACCGCGCGACCCUAUCCUGUCCGGCCCCGUCCGUUCGGGGUAAAAGGGACAAAGAAGGCGGCCCAGCGCGCGACGGCCCGGACCCAUCUUGCCCGUUUUAUGUCCGGGCCGACCCAUUUCGAGCGCAAACUUGCGCCGGGUUUGGAUCGCGGCGGACACCAAACGGACGCGCGUUCGUCCGCGUCGGGGCCGCGUGGCAGGCGGCCACCCACCUCCCACCCACCUACAUCAAUGCGCACGAGCGGGCGGCCCCACCUGUCAUCCGCACGUCGAGCGGUCGCCGUCCUUCUUUAAGUGGGAAGCGUGGACGAGUCGUCGUCCACACUGCCCCACGCCACCCAGCGGCCUCCUCAAACCCCGACAACGCAGAAACCCUAACCCGACUCCUUCUCGAGCUCGCCGGCCGCCCACCUCGCCAUGGGCUUCUGGAACCGCAAGGGCAAGCACGACCGCGAGGCCGGCUCCUCCUCGGGGCGCCGCCGCGGCUCCGUGAAGAAGGAGGAGCCCGCGCCACCGCCGCACUCCUCCCGUUGAGCCCCCGCGCCGGCCCCCUUCACCAUUGCCCCUAGGCCCUCCGGCGAGCGCGACCGGCAGUACAUCUGCGCGGACGUGUGCCAGAGGUACUGGGAGACGAGGACGCCGGUCACGUGGAGCGAUGCCCACCUCCCCAACGGGUGGCACCUCUCCGCGGACCGGGUCCCCAUCCAGCCAGUGCCGGCGACCGGCCGUGCACGGCGCGAUGAGAUCAACCGCCGCCGCCGCCUCCUCCCCGACGACCUGUACUACGACCACAGGUAUGCCCCCGACUCACCGCUCUGGGACACAUGGCUUCAGGAUGAGCACGACGUGCGGCGCGCGUCCUACUUCGCCGGCACCGUGUCGGGGCCGCGGAGGCCACGUUCAGAGCCGCGCGGGUGUACGCGGGUGCGUGGCCUGACGCCCACGCCGUCGCCUUCCCCGUCUCCGUCGCCCCCCCUCCUCGCAUGACAACGGAGGAGGAGGCCCGUCUCCUGCAGCGUGUCAUGGACGACUCCAUGAACACGCACGACGAGCGGCAGUGGGACGGCUUGGAGGAGGCCGUGGCCCUCUCUACCGCCGGGGACGUCGCCUUCCCGGAGCUGCAGCUGGCGGCCGUCACGGGGGCCGCCAAGGAGGAGCCGAUGGAGGAGGACUCGCCCGCGUUCGAGAAGCUCCUGGGCCAGGGGUGGGGCUGGUCGUGCACUGCGCCGGAGAUGGCCGCCGACCUGGGCGUGAACUGGUGCCCCACUCCGGAGCGGGAGGCCUCGCCACGGGAGGAGGUGGUGCAGGCAGCUCCGGCCGUCCAGCCCGCCCCCGUCCACCACGCAUCUCCGGCCCACCUGUGGACGCCGCCGGAGUACGUCGACCUCGCCAGUGACGACGACGACACCGGCGGCCAGUGAAGACGGCGACGGCCACGACACCGACGGGCGCGGCAGGAGCGCGCGGGAGGCGGAGGCGUUUUUUUAUUUUGUUUUAUAUGUUAAUUAUGAAAAAUGGGCCUUUUAAGUGGUCGUGGAAACUGGGCCGUUUUGUGGCCGCCCCCUAUAUAUAUUUUAUGUUUUUUUAAAAUGUGUUUAUUUAGUUUUUUAGUUAUUUCGUUUUAGUUUUAAUAUUUUUUUUAUUCACGUCCACCCCGGACACGAUUUGGGGUGCGGCCGCGCGGUGCGCGCACGCACGACCCAUCUGACAAAGGCGGACACGGGCGAACCCAUCAGCGCCCCAAAGGAACAAAAUCCGGCCAAUCCGGACGUCCGUUUGGGGUCGUGCGGUGGAGUUGGCCUGAAGUCUGUAGUGUCUUUGUGUUUGUUUCAAGUCUGAAGUACUACUAUUCAUCAUCUCCCAUGAUUGAUCUCACUUGUUUAUCACCUGCCAUGAUUGUUCUCAUUUGUCCACCAUCUGGAUGUUUAAUUAGUUGAUGGAUAAGUUUCUGCAUUGUCUUGGAAGCAAUUGUUGGAGGUGUCAGUAAAAUUCAGUGUUAUGGUCAUCCUCUGUUAGCAGUUACUCUUAGUCAUGUUUUUUUUUUUUGGGAUUUUGCCUAUUUGUCAGCAGUUGCUUUUGGUUAUGUUAGUACUUUGGGACUUUGGAGUUCGUCAGCAGUUGGGAUCUUGGAUCUCAACAUCUGCUUUCAAACUGUUGAAGGAAUGUUAGAAGGCUAAUACUCCCUCCGUUUCUAAAUACUUGUCUUUCUAGUCAUUUUAACAAGUGACUACAUACAGAGCAAAAUAAGUGAAUCUACACUCUAAAACAUGUCUACAUACAUUCGUAUGUAGUAGUCAUUCAAAAUGUCUAGAAAGACAAAUAUUUAGGGACUGUUUGGCAACCCGCCGGCUCCUCAAAAUACGAGGAGCUGCGGAGUCAAAGGACUACGGCCCUGUUCGGUAGUUAUCCACUCUCAGAAUCUGUGGAGCGGCCAAUCUGCAACUCUACGAAUUUGUACUGCAGCUCCGCCAACUCCCGGAGCGGAGUUGUGGAGCGGAGCAUUACCGAACAGCCCCUACAGCUCCAUCUUUUUUAACUACAGCUCCGCCAGCUCCCGGAGCGGAGCGGCGGAGUGAAGGGGCUCCGAACGGGGUGUUAGGAACGGAGGGAGUAGUUGUCUUGCUUCAUGUUAAUCCUGCGUAUUAUGUGUUCCUGUAUUACCUCAGGACCAGACUGAUGGGUGCUCUGCACCGCCAUGUGAAAGUUUCUGAACUUUCGGAGCGGUACUCUGUAGGAACAGAGCCCUCGCUGUUGAUGGAUAAGAUCAUGGAGCAUCCUCCAUCUGCCCCACACAGAUGGGCUACAAGCGCACACACACACUUACGGCCCAAGGCCACUGCUAUCAAACUGCAUGACACGGUACUUGCAGGUGUGACACUCUGGAUGGCUGGUACUUGGAUUGGAUGCACAAGUAUCCUCGUCUCGAGAGAUUUUUGAGGGGCUUUGCCGUGAUGAAUAGUCCCCUUUGCUACUUGGUUCACUUCUCCAUGGAGACUGCAUCAACUUUGGAGCCGACCCUUGGUGCAAAUGGCAUAACGAUCCAAUGACCCUAAUCAAAGUUGCCGCUGUCUUCACUGGUCAUAUAUCUUCCUGUAUGCCUCCAAUGCCUAGUAUUUCCUGAGCUCCAACUCCAAUCACCUACGACCAUUUUGAGGCGGUCUGGCAUCUCAGAAUGAACUCGUUGAGAUGAUAGUCUUAUCAGAAACAGAGAAAAAGUACAAAACUAGAAAAAUAGAAAAAGACAUAGAACCACCACAAUUAAGACACAUACUGUGAACAAAUCCUAAAAGCCCAAGUGAACGCAAGAUCAAAUCGGACCCUAAACUACGAGGCCAAUCGAUACGGUUACGCAACCACCCAUUCUAGCAACAUAUAACAAAUCAAGCUGGCUAUGAACUAGCGUAAAUCGCCAAAUCCCAAGCCUUUAUGUUGGCAUAUGGUGGUGGUGGGAGUGGGAUAAUGUUUUUUGGUCGUUGUGUUAGUGAAUGCAUGCCCAUACUCGCAUUGCAUGUCAAGAGGGACAUGACCACCGUUUAAAGGCUCAUGGCGAUGUGUAUUUAAAGCUCCUUAUCGUCACUAAUUAAUUGCAAUUUGGUUUUGCUUGGCGUAGUUUUCAUCAUGUGCUUUCCCUACCACGUGCUUCAUCAAAUUGGAAUUUUAGUUUUGAGUUUUGACAUGUGGGAGUCCCAUGUUUACACCACUUUAUUUUCUAGAUUUAUAUUUUCCGUUAAUAAAGCAUUGAACAGUAGAGAUCUCCAAUAGAUCACCAUUUUGAACGCGAUUUUCCAUGAUACAGCUUGAUGAUUGUUUCACACAUGCGGCGACAUUUUCAACACAUAAAUAAAUAAUUUAAGAAAUCUAAAAAUUUAGUUUUUAUAAAAUUAAGAAAUUAAGAGGAAAAUGCUUAAAGAGUAAUUAUUAAAUCCUAGACUUUGUUUGCGGAAUUGCUGGGGAAACUAUUGUAAUAUUUUUUGUGAAAUCCACCCUCCAUAGCACUAUAGUUUUUGCACCUAGGUCCUCUAAUUGAAAACAAACUAACGAACCAAGUCAAACACAAAUAUCACUAUAAGAGUGUGCAUCUUUUUGCACAGAUAGCAUCGCAACGACGGUCCCUUCAUAAGAUAUACAACCCGGCCCAACACAAGAUGCAAGGUGAAAUAGCUUUUGGAUGGAGUGCGCCUUUUGAAUUUCUGUGGCGAAAUCAUGAAGUCUGGGUAUAGUCUGAAUGCUCAUGAGUCAUCUCCCAUGAUUGGUUUGGUUUGUCCAUUGUUUUAACCUUAAUCAGUUGAGCGGUAGGAUUAUACAUUGUCUUAACUUCUCGUUCUGGAUCCUUCUUGUGAUCAAUACUGCUUUUGACCAGUUUUGUCUCGCAUCAAUACAUUGGUUCUCUGUACAGUAACCACUACACUACUUAUCUGAUGUGACUCACUGAGAUUUCAGGUAGACAAAACAUUUCAAGGAAGACCGUCCCUCUUUUGGAGUUGCUGAUUCGGCAAUUUGUUUGAUCUGGAAUGGAAGCUAGCAUGAGCUCCCGCCCACGUUUUCUGUCUACAAUACAAACCUUUGGACAGAGGUUCUCUAUGCACCUGGUUUGACUGUUGCUCUUUUGGUGAUGUACUGUGCUGUGCUUGCUCUUCAGUGACUGUGAGCUACUCCCUCCAUUCCAAAUUACUCGUCGCAGAAAUGGAUGUAUCUAGAACUAAAUUACAUCUAGAUACAUCCAUACCUGCAACAAGUAAUUCGGAACGGAGGGAGUAACUCUUUGUUUCAGAACGAUUAAAAACACAUUAAGAUGCAAAAAAGAAUUUCAAGCAUGGAAAAAACACUAGGAUGCAAAAUCCAUAGAAGAACUUCAAGCGUAGAUACUGAACUGCACCUACUGAUUGCUCGAAAAUUGAUUCUAUUUUGAAUUUUUGUGGUGGAAACCUGAAGUGUCUGGGUGUUUGUUUCAAGUCUGAAUUAUCUAUUAUGCAUCAUCUCUCAUGAUUGUUCUCAUUUGGCUAUCAUCUCCCAUGAUUGCUCCCAUUUCUCCAUUAUCUGAAUCUUUAAUCAGUACAUUGUCUUAUUCUCCUUCUAGAUCCGAUUCCUUCUUGUUUUGUGAUAUCCACUGCUUGGAAACAUGUGGGGAGUGCUUUUUGCCGCUUGCGUUAUGUCCCUCUCCUAGGCUCGGAACGGCAGAGAUCUGUUCGCUGCAAAUUCUCCCCAGUGUACGACUAGCUGAGAAGUCCAAAGUUGCUCAUAAAUCUUUAAUCAUCGACCAAGGGGGCUUUGUAAACUGGAUCGGUUGGCCAGAUCUAACGGGUCUCGGUUACCAACUACCAGUUGACUGAAGCACCCUUGAUGGGUAUAACAAAAUUGCUCAUAAAUCUUCCUCUAUGCCUCCAAUGCCUAGUUUUGCCUGAAUUCCAUCUCCAAUCAGUUUCGGCCCUUUGAGGCAGCCCGACAUCUCAAAUGAACUCACCAAAUGAUGGUCUUAUCACCAACAAGCAUAGGAUAAAUAAAUAGAUAGAUAGAUAAGGACUUAGGGCCACCACAGACAAGACAUUGAUUGUUAACAAAUCCUAAAAAACCAAGUGAACGCAAGAUCAACUAGGAUCCUAGACCAUGAGACCAAUCGAUAUGAUUAAGCAGCCCACCCACUCUAGCAACUUAUCAAAGGAAACUGGCUAUGAAUUAGUGCAAAUAGCAAACUCCCAAGACCUUUAUAUUGGCAUAUGGUGGUGGUGGGAGUCGGAUGAUGCUUUAGUUGUUGUGUUAGUGAAUACGUGCACGUACUCGCAUUGCAUGUGAAGAGGGACACAUACACCAUUUAAAUACGUGCACGUACUUAAAGCAUUGCAGCGUCACCAGUUGAUUGGGAUUUGGUUUUGCUUGGCAUCGGCCAGAGCUUUCAUGAUGUGCUUUCCCUAUUCUGUGCUCUUUGAUUACAUUUUAUUUAUUUAUUUUGUCUUCGGGAUUUUAGAUCUUAACAUCAGCUAUAAAAAUGUUGAAAGGAAAUGGUACUAGACUUGGUUGUCUUCCUUCGUGUUAGCCUUGUUCCUGGAUGCGUUCUCUGUCAACUUGCGGAUUGCUCGGUGCUCUGCACCAGGCCCGUACAUCUACAGGUGCAAGUGGAGCCGCUGCACAGGGCCCCCAAAAAUCUGGGGGCCCCGUAUAUAUAUAUCCUUAAACUGCCAAAAAAAUAAAGUGCAGCCCCAGCCCAACGCAUGUCAAUUAAUCCACCAAGCCCCAACGGAACAACAGGCCCAUAGCCCAACUCAUCUCUCUCACGGAGAAUUCCAGAAGACUGAAGACGGAUCGAAUUCCCCUGUUCUUUUCUCUCUCUCUACAACUCUGUUCCUCGAGACCAGGACUCGCCGGCGGCUGGCGAAUUAAAUCGCUCGCAAUUAACUCGCAGACUCCUCAUCUCCUUUCUCGAAUGGCUUCCCAAUUAUUAUCCAAGAAGAGAGCCAGCCGUUGAUGGCAAGUACACAAUGAACUGCAGGUUCGUUUCCUCAUCAAUCUAUAAAUUAGGGCGUUUUCUACUGCUUCUUCCACUGACCCAUCAAUCCAUCCAUCGUCCCCUUAGAGAAUCAAGAGGUUGGAACAGGCCUGGGUUGGAAUCUCGCUGCUUGGUGGCCGUAGUCCCUGGAGGUGAGCAAUCAGAGCACCAAGCGCCCCCGCCUGAUGAUCUGCAUCCGUGAACAGUCAGCAACCAAAGGUUGUUUCGCCCCCUUUUCACCCCUUUUUUAGUUGAUCCAUUGUUCUUUCUUGCAUUUGUGUAUCCUUGGUUUUUCUUAAUUUUCUAAGAUGUCUUCUAGUUCUAAACGCCCUGGUAGGAAGUAUGAACCUGGGUAUGAAAAACGUACAAAGAAGAAAAAAGCUGAAAAUCUUAUUCAUUCUCUGAAGGGGUCUCUUGAUAACUUUGUUGUGAAAGAACCACAAGUUUCUUCCGAAAAUCAGAAUAUAGAGGCUGAUGUUGAUGAUAAUGUUGACAACAUUCAGGUUGAGAAUACUAAUCCUGAUGAGGCUAACCUUCAUGGAAAUGUCGUUGGCGCUAGUGUUAAUGAAAACAUGGAUAGUUCACCUGAUAAGAAUAACAUGGAUGCAUCUCCGAUGGUAAUGCUUCUUUCCGGCCAGAUAUAUAUGAUCCAAGGAAUUGGGAUGCCCUUGACUCAAAAGCGAUUGACAUCUUGGUAGAAAAGGAUCCCAAAAGAGAUUUAACUAUAAAAAAGGCCGGAAGGAUAAAAAUAAAAGAUGCUUUUCUUCGAUAUUUUACACAAGAGUUCUACCAAAUGGAGAGAAGUGUAAUAGAGAUUGGCUUGUAUACUCUAGAGAACUUGACAAGGUAUUCUGCUUUUGUUGCAAAUUAUUUCAAAAGGGGCAUGGAAAGGGUCAUUUGCCUAGUGAGGGUUUUAAUGAUUGGGCACAUAUUAGCAUUAGAAUUAGAGAGCAUGAAACAAGUGCCGAACAUGUUCUGAAUAUGGUCACUUGGUAUGAUUUGCGACUAAGGUUGCAAAAGCAUCAAACUAUUAAUUGUGUAGCGCAGCGACAACUUGAGAAAGAAAAGGACCAUUGGAGAAAGGUUCUAUUUAGAAUUCUUUUGAUGGUAAAAUUUCUUGCGAAACACAAUCUUGCAUUUCGUGGUACUAACUCGACAUUGUAUCAAGAUAAUAAUGGAAAUUUCUUAGGCUUGGUUGAAAUGCUAGCUGAGUUCGACCCAAUUAUUCAGGAGCAUGUUAGGCGCAUAACAAACAAUGAAACUCAUGUUCAAUACCUUGGUCAUGGGAUACAAAAUGAGUUAAUACAUUUGCUUGCUUCUGCAAUUAAGUCAGAGAUAAUUAAAAAAAUAAAAGAAGCAAAGUAUUUUUCCGUGAUACUUGAUUGUACCCCUGAUGCGAGCCACCAAGAACAAAUGUCUCUGAUAAUACGAUAUGUCAAUGCAUCUUCGACUUUUGUUUCCAUUGAGGAAUCAUUUUUAGGAUUUUUGGAUGUCAAUGAUACAACUGGGCAAGGGCUUUUUGAUGUUUUGCAGGAAGAACUACGGAAUCUUGACCUGGAUCUAGAUGAUGUGAGAGGAUAGAGCUACAAUAAUGGUGCAAAUAUGAAAGGUAAGAAUAAUGGUGUUCAAAGGAAACUUUUGGAUAAAAAUCCUAGAGCUUUUUAUUCAGCAUGUGGUUGUCAUAGUAUUAAUUUGACACUUUGUGACAUGGCAAAAACUUGUGGUAAAACAAAGGACUUUUUUGGAAUCAUACAACGCAUCUACACAACAUUUGCUAAUUCAACUAAAAAGUGGCAGAUCUUGAAAGAUAAUAUAGAUGAUACAACAGGAUUGACUCUCAAGUCGUUGUCAUCUACUCGUUGGGAGAGUCGAAUAGAUAGUGUUAAAGCUAUAAGAUUUCAGAUUUCGAACAUACGAGAAGCUUUACUGCAAGUAUCUGAUAUUGAUAAUGAUCCAAAAACUAGCAGUGAAGCUAAAUCUCUCGCGAAUAAUGAACUUGGUGAUUUUGAAUUUUUAGUAGCUAUUGUUAUUUGGUAUGAAAUACUGUAUGCCGUCAAUCUGGUCAGCAAGAACUUACAAUCAAAGGAUAUGCUUAUUGAUGUUGCUAUUGAGCAAGUGUAGGGGCUAAUUACCUUUUUUAAUGGGUAUAGAGACACUGCUUUUUGUAAUGCAUUGGAAACAGCAAAAGAAAUUGCACUUGAAAUGGAGAUCGAUCCUACAUUUCGUCAAAAGUGUGAGAUUAAAAGAAAGAAACAAUUUGAUGAAAACCCAGAUGAUGUGUUAAUUUCUUCACAACCUGCACAUGAAUCAUUUAGGAGAAAAUAUUUUAUUCCUGUUGUUGAUCAGGCUAUCAGUUCACUUACAACAAGAUUUGAGCAAUAUGAAUCAUUCCAAAAGAACUUUGGUUUCUUAUUUACUUCUGAUGCACUAAAAUCAUUGGAUGAGAAGAGCUUAAAAUCUUCUUGUAGUGUUCUUGAGGCUGCACUAAAGAGUGGGGCGAAAUCGGACAUUAAUGGUAGUGAAUUAUAUGUUGAGCUAAAUUUACUUAAAAGUUUCAUUCCAAAUGAUAAUAUGGGGCGGGUUGAUAUCUUGAAAUUUCUUAAACGGCUAGAUUGUUUCCCUAAUGCAACUAUUGCAUAUAGAAUUUUGUUAACUAUUUCAGUGACCGUCGCAUCAGCUGAGAGAAGUUUCUCCAAAUUGAAAUUAUUGAAGUCCUAUCUACGUUCAACAAUGACACAAGAAAGGCUCAGUGGGUUGGCUACUAUAGCAAUUGAAAAUGAUAUACUGGAGGGGGUUGCUUAUGAAGAUCUAAUUGAAUAUUUUGUAUCAAGAAAUGCUCAAAGGAUUGCACGCUUUGGCUAACAGAGUAAAAGAUGGACUUGUAGCUCAAAAUUCUAAGAUUUUUCUCUUGUAUUAUGUAGUUCCUUGAGAAAGCUGUCCUGCUGUAGUGACUAAUAAAAAUAAUGUUUAAAUUGCCUACUUGACUUUCUUAUACAUGGGGUCUAAAUUGUGAUUUCGCUCCGGGGCCUCAAUUUCCGAGGUACGGCCCUGUAUGAGCAAUUUUACUCUGUUAGCCCCACAAGGUUAAAGGUACUUCAGUUAACUGGUAGUUUGUCAGUAACCGUGCCUUAUCAGCUGAUGGAUAAGAUCAUGUGGAAUCUCCACGUGUUAGUUUUAAGAAUCCCACGGAGAUCUCAAUAUAUAUGGUGUUGAAAAGAAAGAAAUGGGCAUCGAUACAUGCUUGUUUAAUCCUGUCCCUUUCAAUUUUUUCCGUGCUUAACACCCUUGUUGGGAACUUGGGAUGGUGCCUUGUCCGAUGAUGAUAAAUUUUUGAAUGUUUGUGGGGCAACCCGGAUGUUUGGUUCAAGUCUGAAUGAUCCCAUGGAAAAAAAAACAAUUUGUUUUGUUGAUUGUCUGAAUCUUAAUCAUUUGAUGGAUAAGAUUAUACAAUCUUGAUUCUAGUUCUGUAUCCGGUUCGUCCUUGUGAAUUGUGAUCUGUAGUGCUGUUGACCACUUGCUGUGGGGCAGCAAAUGUUGGAGCUGCCAGGAAGAUUCAAUAUUCUUGUCAUUUUUUAGAAAAAGAGGAUGACCCCAGCCUCUGCAUCUCGGCGAUGCAUGCAACCAUUUUAUUAAUUAUUCACAAAGACCUUACAAAGUUAUACAUCAAUACGUCAGACGCCAGCAUCUUGACAACAUCUGUCGCUACUCCUAUCCAUUGAUGAAGGGUGCAGAAAGUGUGAGCCGAAUACCCAGACUUCUCACCUAGCCUAAAAUAUAAAGUCGGUGGCCCCGACCAAUCCACAUACCUGGUCUAGGUGCACAAAGUGUGAGCCGAAUGCCCAGACUUCUCACCUAGCCUAACAUAUAAAGCCGGUGGCCCCGACCAAGCCACAUACCUGGUCUGGGGCACAAACCGGUCCGACACACUCAUAGGUUGUCGCCGCCGUCUUCUAUCAAUCCAUCUUCAGAGCAGGUACUGAUACAUCGACCUUGCCAGCCUGUCGUCGACGCCCCCAUGGCGCCAGACAAUGCCUCCUCCCUACGUGCGUCCAUCAUCACGCAUCCGCCAUUGAGACUUUGCUAGGCCUCACCGCCGAGACUCCACGAUGUCGAUGCGUCACAGUGAAUGCCGAUCCACCACAAAUUCAGUGGCCCCUCGAGCCUAUGCACACCUCCAAGAAUGACGCCCUCGAGAGGGGUACGACACGUGAGCGCCGCCGUCAUCCGAUCGACUGAUCUAGGGUUUCCCCUCGAAGAUAGCGGAUAGGGGUCUAGAGCUUCUUCACGACGAUGCCUUCAAAAAGGGGACGACGCAGAAAAAUGCCGUCGUCGCCGACCUUGGCAACGUGCCAAGAGUAGGAUUUUCAUCCAGAUCUGCUCGAGGACCCUUCAUCCAGCAUCGUGUGCAGGGGACCGCCACCGAUCACCGCCGCCGCGCAUGGAGCAGGCUGCAUCAGCCGGAUCAGAUCUGACCGGUGACCAGGCCUACCAUGCCGCCGCCACAGUUGAGGCCAGAUCUGAUCUGACCCGACGCCGCCACAGGCGCCGUCCCGAUGAGGACGCCGUCGCCUCUCCGUGGGGCCGCCACCCCGGAUCCAUGGAUCACGGCCGCUACAGCCGCGCCGAUCAGCUAGAAAAGGGCCUCGCUGCCGCCUUCCCUGGAGCCAUCUGGACUUCGCCGGAGGGCGCCUCGGGCGGGCGGCGAGGAGAGGAAGGUGCUGCUGGGGAGGAAGAUGCGUCGGCGGGAAGGUGGCAGCGGAGGAGAGAUCCUGCGUUGGGUGGUGGUGGUGGCCGCGGCGCUAUAUCUUGUCAUGUGUUUGUGUGUCAGCAGGUUGAUCUUGCUUGGUUCUUCCAAGUUUUUUGGGACUUCUUUCUACAGCUUUUGGUUCUAUUGAGUAUUUUGGGGUCUUUAUCGUUUCUUUGUUUGUGGUUGUGCACCGUUGUAUCAAGUGAUGUGAGCUUCUAAAAUUUCUCUCUUCUUUAUAUGACGUUUUCUGAAAGUUUUGAGUUGCCUGUAAAGGGGACUGAAAGUGCCUCCAACUGCACCUGGAUUGGAUCCAUCUUUUUUGGCCGAUUUGCGGGUGACAGGACAGCAGUCUGAUCCUUUUUGAUCUAUUGAGUAUUUUGUCUGCCUACGAUUGUUGGACACAUUGGAGUACUCCAAUCCUGGCCCUUUGGUAUGUUUUUCUAUUCAUCUUUUUGUCCGCAAUGGUGCUCUGUGCUGGCAUGCGAAGUCUCGGAAUUAUUGCAAUGGAAGUGAAACCCAAAGUCUGCAGCGUCUGGGCGUUUGUUUGAAGCCUGAAUUAUUCUGCGUCAUGUCCCCCGAUUGUUCUCACUUGUCUAUUACAGUACCUCCCAUGAUUGUUCUCGUUUGUCCACCAACUGAAUCUUCAAGCAGUUGAUGGAUAAGUUUCUACAUUCUCUUAUUCUCGUUCUGGAUCUGAUUCCUUGUUGUGAUUUACACUGCUUUUGACCUUUUUUCUGCUUCUCCGUUCACCUUUUUUUUUGCUGGGAUGGUGCUCUGUCCUUUCAUGCCAAGUCUCUGAAAUUUUUGUAGUGGAACCCUGAAGCCUGGGUGUUUGCUUGAAAUCUGAAUUAUUAUGCAUCAUCUCCCAUGAUUUUUCUGACUUGUCAAUUAUCUGAAUCUUAAUCAGUUCAUAGAUAAGAUUCUACAUUUUCCUAUUCUAGUUAUGGAUCCGAUUCCUUGUUGAUCUGCUUUUGACCAUACUUUUGCCUGGCAGCAACUGUUUGAGUUGUCAGUAAAAUUCAAUGUUCUAGUCAUCUUCUGUCAGCAGUUGCUCUUGGUUCUGUUAAGUAUUUUUGGGGGAUUUUGCCUAUUGUCAGUUUGUCACCAGUUGCUCCUGUGACUUUAUAUUUUGUCAGUAGUUGGGGUCUUAGAUCUCCGUACCUGCUGUCAAACUCUUGAAAGGAAAUGGCAUAAGGCUAAUAGUUUUCUUCCUUCGUUUAAUUCUGCUUGUGCGUUCCUCUGUUAUCUCUGGACUGGUUGAUUCUCUGCAUUGUCAUGCGGAAGUUUAUGAAUUUUCGUAGCAGCAUUCUGAGAUCUUUAAGUAGACCUUUAUAUUGGCAUAUGGUGGUGGACUUAUUAAACCAGAUCGGAUUGCCAGAUCUUCAAGUGUACCGUUUGGAUCUUACGACUAUCGGUCGCCAACUACCAGUUAACUGAAGUACCUUUAACCUUGUGGGGUAUAGUAAAAUUGCUCAUAGAUCGUCCUGUAUGCCUCCAAUGCCUAGUUUUGCCCAAGUUCCAACUCCAAUCACUUUCGGCCGUUUGAGGUAGUCCAACGUACAUCUCAAAUGAAGUCAUCAGAUGAUGGUCUUAACUAAAUAAAUAAAUAGAUAAGGACUUAGGACCACCACAAAUAAAACACUGAUCAUUAACAAAUCCUAAAAACCAAGUGAACACGCGAUCAAAUCAGAGCCUAAACUAUGAGACCAUUCGAUAUGAUUAGGCAGCCUACCCACUCUAGCAACUUCUGAAAUGAAACCGGCUAUGGAUUAGUGUAAAUCGCAAACUCCCAAUACCUUUAUAUUGGCAUAUGGUGGUGGUGGGAGUGGGAUGCUGCUUUGGUUGUUGUGUUAGUGAAUGCGUGCACGUAGUCGUGUUGCAAGUGAAGAGGGACACAUACCAUUUAAAGGCUAUGGUCGAUGGUCAUUUAAAACUUAGCAGCAUCACCGAAUGAUUGAGAUUUUGUUUUGCAUGGCAUCGUCCGGAGUUUUCAUGAUGUGCUUUCCUAUAAUGUGCUCCUUCAAAUUGGAAGGCUAGUUUUGGCAUAUAGGAGUCCCAUGUUUACAUCACUUUAUUUUCUAGUUGUUAUAUUUGCACAAUAUAGUCAAUAAAGCACUGAACUAUAGAUGUGGUCAACAGGUGACUAUUUUAAUUAUGAUUCUCCAUGAGACAACAUGAUGAUUGUUUUGCACAUACGUCGGCAGUUUCAACACAUAAAUAAUUAAUUUAGGAGAUCUAAAAAAUAUAUUAUUUUUUAAAUUAUGAAAUCAAGGAAAUAUAUAUGUGUAAAGAAGAACUAUAAAUCCUAGGCUUUGUUUACGAAAUUAUUGGAGGAACUACGGCUUAAGUCCACCCUGUAAAGCACCCUAGUUUUUGCAUAUUUGCAGUGAUAGUAUUGUAGCGUUCUAAAAUCAUGGUACAAGACAUAUUUGCAGACUACUCCAAUUUGUUUGUUUGCUUUCUGCAAUUUAUUCCUGUUGAUGUGACGUGAAAGUUUGGAGUGACAGUCUACGUCUUCUCCCUUUCUGGUAGCGAUUGUUGGAGAUUCUGAUGUUGGGAAGUUUCAGUAUAUUGGUUAUUUGUACUACUCCUACUCCUACUGCUUAUCUUCUGAUGCGAAGUCUUUGAAUUUUUGUAGCGGAAUCCUGAAAUCUGUAGUGUCUUUGUGUUUGUUUCAAGUCUUAAGUACGUACUAUUAUGCAUCAUAUCCCAUGAUUGUUCUCACUUGUCUACCAUUUCCCAUGGUUUUCCUGACUUGCCCAUUAUCUGAAUCUUAAUCAGUUCAUGGAUAAGAUUCUACAUUUUCUUAUUCUGGUUCUGGAUCCGAUUCCUUGUUGUGAUCUGCACAGAUUUUGACCAUUUUUUUCCUUGGCAGCAAUUGUUGGAGGUGUCAGUAAAAUUCAGUGUUCUGGUCAUCCUCUGUCGGCAGUUGCUCUUGGUUGUGUUGAGUUUUUUUUGUUGGGAUUUUUUCUAUUGUCAGCGGUUGCUUUUGGUUAUGUUAGUACAGUGGGACUUUGUAUUUUUGUCAGAAGUUGGGAUCUUAGAUAUCAAUGUCUGUUGUCGAACUGUUGAAAGAAAAUGGUAUAAGGCAGUCUGAGGUUUGGGAGCGGCAAUGUCAUGCGAAAGUUUUUCUGAAUUUUGGGAGCGGCAGUCUGAGGUUUCUGUCAGUAACAGAGCCCUUGCAGUUGUUGGAUAAGUUGUCCUCCAUGUGAUUGUUCCGACUGAAUCUUAAUCAAUCAAAGGUGAUGGUCUACUGUUUUUUCAGUCGUGGGAUGCACCGCUGGCUAAACAAAAGGUGGUGAGAGUUGUCUGCAAGUUUCUUUAACGAAAGUUUUUCUAAAGCAUCUGUGCAUAUCACACGUGAGGGGGUGAGUUUGAGGAAGAAGGUGAGAAACACACACACAGAGAGAGAGAGAGAGAGAGAGAGAGAGAGAGAGAGAGAGAGAGAGAGAGAGAGACAGAGAGGUGAUAUUCAGAAUGCCACUUCCUCAUUCAUGCCGUUCUCUCCUGAACUAGGCUGGGACAUCUGCCUCACCUAGAUGGGCUACAAGCGCACACACACUUACGGCCCAAGGCCACUGCAGUCCAACUUUUUUUCACUAAAAGAAAAGAAAAGAAGGUCUGACACUGUGGACGGCUUGUACUUGGAUCGGAUGCAGAGUAUCCUGCCUCGAUAGAUGAUUGAGGGGCUUUGCCCGUUGUAAUGAAUCAUACCGAGUUCCCAUUCCAACUUGGUUCUGUUCUUCGUGGGGACUGUAUCGACUUCGGAACUGUUCCUUGGUGCACAUGGCAUAACGAUCCAAUGAUCUCAACCAAAGUUGCAUUUCCCUUAACUGCUCAUAGAUCCCCCUGUAUGCCUCCAAUGCCUAGUAUUGCCCGAGUUUCAACUCCAACCACUUGCGAACAUUUUGAGGUAGUCUGGCAUCUCGGAAUGAACUCGCUAAGAUGAUAGUCUUAUCAACAACAAACAAAAGUACAAAACUAAAAAUAAUAAUUAGAAAACGGCAUAGAGCCACCACAAUGUGAACAAAUCCUAAAAGCCCAAAUGAACAUGCGAUCGAAUCGGAUCCUAAACUAUGAGAACAAUCGAUACGGUUAGGCAACCACCCACUCUAGCAACGCAUCAAAUCAAACUGGCUAUGAACUAGUGUAAUUCACAAAAUUCCAAGACCUUUGUAUUGGCAUAUGGUGGUGGCAGGAGUGGGAUAAUGCUUUGGUUGUUGUGUUAGUGAAUGCAUGAACACACUCGCGUUGCAAGUGAAGAGGUACAUGGCCACCAUUUAAAGGCUCAGGGCGAUGUGUAUUUAAAGCCCUGCAUUGUCACCAAUUAAUUACGAUUUGGUUUUGCUUGGCAUUGUUCAGAGUUUUUAUUUCCCUAUCGUGUGCUUCAUCAAAUUGGAAGGUUAGUUUUGGCAUAUGGAAGUCCCAUGUUUAUAUCGCUUUAUUUUCUAGUUGUCAUAUUUUAGUAAAUGAAGCGUUGAACAUUAGGGAGUCAGACUGCACCUGCACUCAUGCCGGAAUUAACUCUGGUGAACGAUGACGACGCCGGCAGCGAGGUCUGACCAUAUACACCCACCCCGACCGUUCCCUUCGUUGCUGAACUUCCAAAUUUUUCAGUGCUUAACACCCUUGCUGGGAUGGUGCCUUGUCCGAUGAUGAGAAGUUUCUGAAUGUUUGUGGGGCAACCCCGAUGUUUGCUUCAAGUCUUAAUGAUCCCAUGAAAAAAACAAUCUUAACGAAGGCGAUCACGGCAAGGGGUCGGGCUCCUCCUCCGCCUUCGGCCGACCCCGUCAUCCACAUUGACGGCGAAGCGGCCAGCCACGCCUCAAACAUGUUCGAUGAAAUGGCCGGGAGGUAAUUUUUUUCUUUUGCUUGCUUUGCUCCGUUCAUCUAUGCUUCGGCCGUUUGGAAUACUUGCUUGAGCUUUGGCCAUUGAUUUUUGUAGCCAAAAUGUGUCCUACACAUAUACAGAGGAUGUUAGCCGAGAGCACGGUGAAUUUGAGUGCCCCCCUUGGCGAUUUCGAUGCAUCAUACGUCGAGGUCGACGCGGAGGUGAAUGAUGAGAAUGAAGAUGAUGAUGAAGUGCAAGAGAUCGAGGAGGCCGACUAUGAUGCUAGGGUGGGGAGGAACGGUAACUACACGGAGACGGAGGAUGUUAAAGCAUGGGAAAACAUCUCUCUUGACUCCAUUGCUGGCAAAGGAUCAAACCUAUGGCAACUAUUGAAAAAGGAUCAAGGACAAAUUUCAUUAAAUGAUGCCAUUCCCAUCAAGCCGGAGCUUGAAGGGCCUUCAAGGCCGUUGGGAGACCAUCAACAAAGCUAGCGGUCGUUGGGCCAGAUGCUUGGAGCAAGUGCGGAAUGCACCACCAAGUGGCGUCACUAUUGAUGAUUUUUUUGGAAAUGGAGGCAAGCCCCCGGCCUCUGCAUCAUGAAGAUGCAUGCAACCAUUUUAUUAAGAAUCCACAAAGUAGCGACAAAAAAGGUCCAAAUAGCUCGCAAACGGAGCAAAGCAAAUAAGAAAAUUACAUGCUGACACCAGCCGGUACGGUAAUAUGUAGGAUAAUUAAGCUCCCUAGACUCCUAUCCUGUUAUGCGAGCGCCAUCCGAACCGGUUGAAUAUAGCCUGAGCUACCAUCUCCCAUUGGUUGUACCCAGUAACCAAAGGCUCUCUGGAGUCCAUAGGAGUGAGUAAGGACCACACAUGUAUCCAAGCUGUAGCUCUGAAGAUAACUUGCAAGAAAGUUAAAGAGUGUUGUCUUUUAAAGAUCAUAUCAUUCCUGCAGUUCCAUAUAGCCCAUAAUAGCGCACAUAUUCCAAUCCGAAUACAAGCCGCAGUAAUCUGUUCAACCCCAACUAACCACGUCCCAAACAACGACGCAAUAUCGACUGGAGGAGUAAUGUUGAAAGCUAUAUGAAUCGUUCUCCAAAGUAAUCUGGCAAGUAGGCAUUCAAGAAAUAAGUGUUGUAUUGUUUCAUCAUGAUCACAAAAACAGCACCGUGAACUCCCUACCCAUCGCCUUUUAAUUAAGUUAUCCUUUGUGAGUAUCACUUGCUUGUGGACAAACCACAUAAAUAUUUUAAUCCGCAAAGGAACCUUAACCCUCCAGAUGUGUAGUGAUCUUGAGAUUGGGCCAGAAUUAAUCAAAUCCAAGUAGAAAGAUUUCACCGUAAAGAUCCCGUUCUUAUCUAACUUCCAUUGUAUCGAAUCCGGCUGGUCAGAGAGUUGAACUUCUAUCAAUCUCCGAACCAAGUGCAUCCAGGCAUUCCAUCGCUCACCAACUAACGCACGUCGAAACUGGAUAUUCAGGGGAAUAGUUUGAAGAACUGUGCCUACGUAAUCUUCCUUACGUUGCGCAAGAUUAUAAAGGGUGGGGUAUUGGACGGCCAGAGGCGUGUAUCCUAACCAAGUGUCCUCCCAAAAUCUUGUGGACAUCCCAUUGCCAACCAAGAAUUUGACCCUACGAAAGAACAAGUCAUUCGUUCGCAUAAGUCCUUUCCAGAAUGGCGAAUCAGUUGGUCUCAUGGUAACCUGGGCUAAUGUUUUGGAUUGUAGAUACUUAUUUCGCAAGAUUUGUGACCACAUACCCUCCGGCUCUGUCUCUAGCCUGUAAAGCCAUUUGCUCACAAGGCAUUUAUUCUUAAUCUCUAAAUUCUCAAUACCGAGACCCCUUUGGUCUUUAGGUCGGCAGAGAAUAUCCCAUCGCGCAAGAUGGUAUUUCCUCUUGGCCUCAUCGGACUGCCAAAAGAAACGAGAUCUAAAGAAAUCAAGACGCUUCCGGACUCCUUUCGGAAUUUUGAAGAACGAAAGAAGAAACAUCGGCAUACUAGUCAGUACUGAAUUAAUCAGGACUAGCCGACCUCCAUAUGACAUAAGCUUGCCUUUCCAGCAACUUAGUUUCUUUUAAAUUCGUUCUUCAAUACACUUCCAUUCUUUAUUGGAUAGUUUACGGUGAUGCAUCGGUAUGCCCAAGUAAUUGAAUGGUAAAGCACCUAAUUCACAUCCGAACAAUUGUCUAUAAGUGUGUUCCUCGUCUUUGGCCUUCCCAAAGCAGAAUGACUCGCUCUUAUGAAAAUUAAUUUUUAAUCCUGACAGUUGUUCGAAGAGACAUAAGAUGAGUUUCAUAUUACGUGCCUUAGCCAUAUCAUGUUCCAUGAAUAGAAUAUUGUCGUCCGCAUAUUGUAGAAUGGAUACACAUCCAUCGACUAGAUGAGGAACUAAGCCUUCUACAUGGCCAUGCUGUUUGGCCCUGCCAAUAAGGACGGCUAGCAUGUCAGCCACAAUAUUAAAUAGAAGAGGAGACAUGGAAUCCCCUUGGCUCAGCCCCUUAUGAGUCUGGAAAUAAUGACCUAUGUCAUCAUUCACCUUGACUCCUACACUACCUUUCUGGACUUGGGUAUCUACCUGGUGCCUCCAGGUUUCACUAAAGCCCUUCAUGCGCAUUGCCCGCUGAAGAAAAGGCCACUUGACUUUAUCAUAUGCCUUUUCAAAAUCCACUUUGAAGAUAAUCCCAUCUAGUUUCUUCGAGUGGAUCUCGUGAAUUGUUUCAUGCAAGACGACCACCCCUUCUAGUAUGUGUCGCCCUGACAUAAACGCUGUUUGAUUUGGUUGGACCACAUGUUGAGCAAUUUGUGUCAAUCUAUUGGUUCCAACCUUUGUAAAAAUUUUGAAACUCACAUUUAGCAGACAAAUGGGCCUGAAUUGUUCUAUCUGAAUUGCCUCCUCUUUCUUUGGUAGAAGCGUUAUCGUACCAAAGUUGAGAUGGAACAACUCCAAGUGACCGUUGAAGAAAUCAUGAAACAUAGGCAUAAGAUCAUCUUUAAUAAUAUGCCAACAUUUCUUAUAGAAUUCAGCAGGAACCCAUCUGGUCCCGGUGCUUUAUUCGGUUUCAUUUGUGUAAUUGCCUGAAUAACCUCUUUUUCAGUAAACAGGGCAGAGAGGAAGUCAUUCUCCGCUGCCUGUAAUUGAGGUAUGUCCUCAAGCGUGGAUUCAUCCAGUGUCACCUUGCUUGUAUUAGAGGGGGUCCAAAAAGUUGCUUAUAAUAAUUAGAGAUAUAUGCUUUCAGAUUUUCGUGCCCCACAAGUGUCCCCUCGUCCUGUUCAAGCUGGAUAAUCUUCUUCUUUCUAUGUUUGCCAUUUGCAACCAUAUGGAAGAAUUGUGUAUUAUCGUCCCCUUGGACAACCUUAAGUGUUUUAGCACGCAAUGCCCACUUGAGCUCCUCUUCUCUCAACAGAGCUCGUAGGCCUUGCUCAGCUUCAGACUUGGAUGUUUGCUCAUUAACCGAAAGAAGAGUGGCUUCAACCUUUAAGUCAAGUGCCUCAAUUAAUUUGGUAAGACACUCUCUUUCGUGUUUGUAAAUCCCACUCUCAUUUCUGGCUCAACCUCUCAAGAACUGUCAGAGAUGUCUAAUCUUGUUUUGCCAUCUCUCAACAUGCGUCCUUCCACUAACCGGCUUAGCCCAGUCACGUGCAAUGAGUUCCAAAAAUCCUUCUCUCUCAAACCAGCUUUGUUCGAAGGAGAAAACAUUUUUGUUUGCCACAUGGGUAGCCUCACCCGAGUCUAAAAACAAUGGUGUAUGAUCUGAGAUCGCUCUCUGCAUCGCAUGAAUCGACACCAAAUGAUAUUUUUGUUCCCACUCCACACUCGCAAGCACCCUAUCCAACUUUGCAUAAGUCGGAAUGGGUAACGAGUUGGCCCAUGUAAACUGUCUACCAGUGAGUUCAAUUUCUCUCAAAUUAAGACUCUCGAUAAUCAUGUUAAACAUCAUAGACCAACGACCAUCAAAAUUGUCAUUAUUCUUUUCAUCUCUCCACCUGAUAAUAUUAAAAUCUCCCCACAAGGAUUGGCAGAUUUUCAUUUCCACAAAUCCGCACUAAAUCAGCUAAAAAGUCUGGUUUGAAUUCAGGUUGUGCUGCCUCGUAAAGAGCAACAAGAGACCACCGAAACCCGUCUAGUUUUGAUCUCACCCUAAACUUAACCGAAAAGUCCCCCUGGACCACAUUAAGUACCUCAAGCGUCUCACACCGCACUCCUAGCAAAAUCCCACCGGAUCUUCCUCUAGGAGGUAAGAUGUGCCAGUCAAAAUAGAUACCAUUGGAUAGAUUUUGAAGAAAUUGUUAAGUAAAAUUAUCGCGUCCUGUUUCCAACAGUGCAAUAAAGUCCAGAUGUUUUUCUAUCGUUGUCUCCACUAAGAACCUUUGUUUAGCCAAGUCAGCUAGACCUCUGCUAUUCCAAAAGAGUCCCUUCAUAAGUCAUCAUGAAAUUUUUUCUUAAGAUUAACUCGAGCACUUCUACGUAUCGCCGAGGUAGGAUAAAUUUUCCGCUUCCAGGAUCGUUUGGGCUUUUCCCCAACACCCUGUGGGAGAGUAGGAUCGGCUACGACAGAAACCGCGCCCUCCAUCAUGAGAGGCUGUACCGUGUCAGUAGUCUCCGACCCCUAUGAUACGUCUCCAACGUAUCUAUAAUUUUUGAUUGCUCCAUGCUAUAUUAUCUACUGUUUUGGAAAUUAUUGGGCUUUAUUAUCCACUUUUAUAUUAUUUUUGGGACUAACCUAUUAACCAGAGGCCCAGCCCAGAAUUGCUGUUUUUUGCCUGUUCUAGGGUUUCGAAGAAAAGGAAUAUCAAACGGAGUCCAAACGGAAUGAAACCUUCGGGAACGUGAUUUUCUCACCGAAUACAACUCAAGAGACUUGGACCCUACGUCAAGCCAAUUAACAGGAGGCCAUGAGGUAGGGGGGCGCGCCUGCCCCCCAGGCGCGCCCUCCACCCUCGUGGGCCCCUUGUUGCUCCACCGACGUACUUCUUCCUCCUAUAUAUACCCACAUACCCCCAAACGAUCAGAUACAGAGCCAAAAACCUAAUUCCACCGCCGCAACUUUCUGUAUCCAUGAGAUCCCAUCUUGGGGCCUGUUCCGGAGCUCCGUCGGAGGGGGCAUCGAUCACGGAGGGCUUCUACAUCAUCAUCCAAGCACCACCGAUGAAGUGUGAGUAGUUUAUUUCAGACCUACGGGUCCAUAGUUAGUAGCUAGAUGGCUCCUUCUCUCUUUUUGGAUCUCAAUACAAUGUUCUCCCCCUCUCUCGUGGAGAUCUAUUCGAUGUAAUCUUCUUUUUGCGGUGUGUUUGUUGAGACCGAUGAAUUGUGGGUUUAUGAUCCAAUCUAUCUAUGAAUAAUAUUUGAAUCUUCUCUGAAUUCUUUUAUGUAUGAUUGGUUAUCUUUGCAAGUCUCUUUGAAUUAUCAGUUUGGUUUGACCUACUGGAUUGGUUUUUCUUGCCAUGGGAGAAGUGCUUAGCUUUGGGUUCGCUCUUGCGGUGUCCUUUCCCAGUGACAGAAGGGGCAGCAAUGCACGUAUUCUAUUGUUGCCAUCGAGGAUAACAAGAUGUUUUUUUAUCAUAUUGCAUGAAACUAUCCCUCUACAUCAUGUCAUCUUGCUUAAGGCGUUACUCUGUUUUUAACUUAAUACUCUAGAUGCAUGCUGGAUAGCGGUCGAUGAGUGGAGUAAUAGUAGUAGAUGCAGGCAGAAGUCGGUCUACUUAUCUCGGACGUGAUGCCUAUAUACAUGAUCAUACCUAGAUAUUCUCAUAACUAUGCUCAAUUCUGUCAAUUGCUCAACAGUAAUUUGUUCACCCACCGUAGAAUACUUAUGCUCUUGAGAGAAGCCACUAGUGAAACCUAUGGCCCCCGGGUCUCUUUCUCAUCAUAUAAAUCUCCAUCACUUUAUUAUUUCUUUGCUUUUACUUUGCCUUUUACUUUUCACUUUGCAUCUCUAUACCAAAAUACCAAAAAAAUUAUUUAUCAUCUCUAUCAGAUCUCACUUUCGUAAGUGACCGUGAAGGGAUUGACAACCCCUAAGCGCGUUGGUUGCGUUGAGCUAUUGUUUUUGUGUAGGUACAAGGGACCCGCGCGUAGUCUCAUACUGGAUUGAUACCUUGGUUCUGAAAAACUGAGGGAAAUACUUACGCUACUUUGCUGCAUCAUCCUCUCCUCUUCGGGGAAAUCCAACGCAGUGCUCAAGAGGUAGCAAGAAGAAUUUCUGGCGCCGUUGCCGGGGAGUCUACGCAAAGGUCAACAUACCAAGUACCCAUCACAAUCCCUAUCUCCCGCAUUACAUUAUUUGCCAUUUGCCUCUCGUUUUCCUCUCCCCCACUUCACCCUUGCUGUUUUAUUCGCCCUCUCUCUCUAUCCUCCCUCUCUUUCUCUAUUUGCCUCUUUUUGCCCGUUUGCCUUUUGUUUGCUCGUGUGUUGGAUUGCUUGUUUGUCGCGAUGGCUCAAGAUAAUACUAAAUUGUGUGACUUCACCAAUACCAACAAAAAUGAUUUCCUUAGCACUCUGAUUGCUCCUCUUACCGAUGCUGAAUCUUGUGAAAUUAAUGCUGCUUUGCUGAAUCUUGUCAUGAAAGACCCGUUUUCCGGCCUUCCUAGUGAAGAUGCCGCUACCCAUCUGAAUAGCUUCGUUGAUUUGUGUGACAUGCAAAAGAAGAAAUAUGUCGAUAAUGAUAUUGUUAAAUUGAAGCUAUUUCCUUUUUCGCUUGGUUUUCAUCUUUGCCUAAAAAUAGUAUUGAUUCAUGGAACAAGUGCAAAGAUGCUUUUAUCUCUACUCCCGCUAAGAUCAUCUCUCUUAGAAACGAUAUUAUGAAUUUUAAGCAACUUGAUCAUGAACAUGUUGCACAAGCUUGGGAGAGAAUGAAAUUAAUGAUACGUAAUCACCCUACUCAUGGUUUGAAUUUGUGGAUGAUUAUACAAAUUUUUUAUGCCGGAUUGAAUUUUGCUUCUAGAAAUCUUUUAGAUUCGGCCGCGGGAGGCACUUUUAUGGAAAUCACUUUAGGAGAUGCUACUAAACUCCUAGAUAAUAUUAUGGUUAAUUAUUCUCAAUGGCACACUGAAAGAUCCACUAAUAAAAAAGUGCAUGCGAUAGAAGAAAUUAAUGUUUUGAGUGGAAAGAUGGAUGAACUUAUGAAAUUAUUUGCUACUAAGAGUGUUUCGUCUGAUCCUAAUGAUAUUCCUUUGUCUACUUUGAUUGAGAAUAAUAAUGAAUCUAUGGAUGUGAAUUUUGUUGGUAGGAACAAUUUUGGUAACAACGCGUAUAGAGGAAAUUUCAAUCCUAGGCCUUAUCCUAGUAAUCCCUCUAAUAAUUAUGGUAAUUCCUACAAACAUUCUUAUGGAAAUUAUAAUAAGAUACCCUCUGAUUUUGAAUAUAAUAUUAAAUAAUUUAUUUCUUCGCAAAAGAAUUUUAAUGCUAUGAUUGAAGAAAAAUAGCUUAAGAUUGAUGAUUUGGCUAGGAACGUUGAUAGAAUUUCUCUUGAUGUUGAUUCUUUAAAGAUUAGACCUAUUCCUCCUAAUAAUGAUAUCAAUGAGCCUCUCAAAGCCAUGAGAAUUUCCAUUGAUGAGUGCAAGGAAAGAACCGCUAGCACGCGUGCUAUGAAAGAUUACUAGGAUAAGGCCUAGGAUUGAAAUUUAUAAUGAUUUCCAUAAAAGUUAUUAGAGGGAUUACUAGGAUAAGGCCUAGGAUUGAAAUUUCCUAGUUCCUAUGAAAAUAACUUUUAGAUCUUCAUGAACGUGUUCUUCUAGUUCCUAUGAAAAUAAUGAUGAAGAUCUAAAAGUUAUUGAUGUGUCCCCUAUUAAAUCUUUGUUUUGCAAUAUUAAUCUUGAUAAUGAUGGGACUGAAUAUGAUCCACCUUUACCUAGAAGGCGUUCUAAAAAUUCGAAGUAUUUAGAUCUUGAUGGUGAAAUUUAUAAAAGUGGGAUUAAAAGAAAUAAAACCCUAGAUGAUGCUAAACCCACUAUAUUGGAUUUCAAGGAAUUUAAUUAUGAAAAUUGCUCUUUGAUUGAUUGUAUUCCCUUGUUGCAAUCCAUGCUAAAUUCUCCUCAUGCUUAUAGCCAAAAUAAAGCCUUUACCGAACAUAUCGUUGUUGCCUUGAUGCAAUCUUAUGAAGAAAAACUUGAGUUGAAAGUUUCUAUCCCUAGAAAACUUUAUGAUGAGUGGGAACCUACUAUUAAAAUUAAAAUUAAAGAUUAUGAGUUUUAUGCUUUGUGUGAUUUGGGUGCUAGUGCCUCUACUAUUCCCAAAACUUUGUGUGAUUUGCUAGAUUUCCGUGAUUUUGAUGAUUGCUCUCUAAACUUGCAUCUUGCGGAUUCCACUAUUAAGAAACCUAUGGGAAGAAUUAAUGUUGUUCUUAUUGUUGCAAAUAGGAAUUAUGUGCCCGUAGAUUUUAUCGUUCUUGAUAUAGAUUGCAAUCCUUCUUGCCCUAUUAUCAUCGAUAGACCUUUCCUUAGAACGGUUGGUGCAAUUAUUGAUAUGAAGGAAGGGAAUAUUAUAUUUCAAUUUCCAUUAAAAAAGGGCAUGGAACACUUCCCUAGAAAGAAAAUAAAAUUACCAUAUGAAUCUAUCAUGAGAGCCACUUAUGGAUUGCCUACCAAAGAUGGCAAUAUCUAGAUCUAUUCUUGCUUGUUAUGCCUAGCUAGGGGCGUUAAACGAUAGCGCUUGUUGGAAGGCAACCCAAUUUUAUUUUUAUUCCUUGCUUUUCGCUCCUGUUUAGUAAUAAAUAAAUUAUUUAGCCUCUAUUUUGGUUGUGUUUUUUUGUGUUUAAUUAGUGUUUGUGCCAAGUAGAACCGUUGGGAAGACUUGGGGAAAAUCUUGUUGAACUUGCUGUAAAAAACAGAAACUUUAGCGCUCACGAGAACUGUUGUAAUUUUUAUUUAGAGAGUGCUAUUUAGUUAAUUCUUUUUGAAGAUGAUUAAUAGAUAAAUUCCUCACGUCCAGCAAUUUAUUUUAGAAUUUUUGGGGUUCCAGAUCUUGCGCUAGCUACAUAUUACUACAGACUGUUCUGUUUUUAACAGAUUCUAUUUUCUGUGUGUUGUUUGCUUAUUUUGAUGAAUCUAUGGCUAGUAAAAUAGUUUAUGAACCGUAGAAAAGUUGGAAUACAGUAGGUAUAACACCCAUAUAAAUAAAGAAUGAGUUAAUUACAGUACUCUGAAGUGGUCUUUUGUUUUCUUUCGCUAACGGGACUCACGAGAUUUUCUACUUUAAGUUUUGUGUUGUGAAGUUUUCAAGUUUUGGGUAAAGAUUUGAUGGAUUGUGGAACAAGGAUUGGAAAGAGACUAAGCUUGGGGAUGCCCAUGGCACCCCCAAGAUAAUCUAAGGACACUUAAAAGCCAAAGCUUGGGGAUGCCCCGGAAGGCAUCCCCUUUUUCGUCUACUUCUAUCGGUAACUUUACUUGGAGCUAUAUUUUUAUUCACCACAUGAUAUGUGUUUUGCUUGGAGCGUCUUGUAUUAUUUGAGUCUUUGCUUGUUAGUUUACCACAAUCAUCCUUGCUGUACACACCUUUUGAGAGAGCCAUACAUGAUUUGGAAUUUGAUAGAAUACUCUAUGUGCUUCACUUAUAUCUUUUGAGCUUUAUAAUUUUGCUCUAGCGCUUCACUUAUAUCUUUUAGAGAACGGUGGUGGAUUUGUUUUAUAGAAACUAUUGAUAUCUCAUGCUUCACUUAGAUUAUUUUGAGAGUCUUAAUAGCAUGGUAAUUUGUUUAAAAUCCUAAUAUGCUUGGUAUGCAAGAUUAAUAAUAAAACUUUCUUAUGAGUGUGUUGAAUACUAAGAAAAGUUUGAUGCUUGAUGAUUGUUUUGAGAUAUGGAGGUAAUAAUAUCAAAGUCAUGCUAGUUGAGUAGUUGUGAAAUUGAGAAAUACUUGUGUUGAGUUUUGCAAGUCCCAUAGCAUGCACAUAUGGUAAACUUUAUGCAACAAAUUUGAAACAUGAGGUGUUAUUUGAUUGUCUUCCUUAUGAGUGGCGGUCGGGGGCGAGCGAUGGUCUUUUCCUACCAAUCUAUCCCCCUAGGAGCAUGCGCUCAGUACCGAGGUUUUUGAUGACUUGUAGAGUUUUGCAAUAAGUAUGUGAGUUCUUUAUGACUAAUGUUGAGUGCAUGGAUUAUACGCACUCUCACCCUUCCAUCCUUGCUAGCCUCUUCGGUAUCGUGCAUUGCCCUUCCUCACAUUGAGAGUUGGCGCAAACUUCGCCGGUGCAUCCAAACCCCGUGAUAUGAUACACUCUUUCACACAUAAACCUCCUUAUAUCUUCCUCAAAACAGCCACCAUACCUACCUAUUAUGGCAUUUCCAUAGCCAUUCCGAGAUAUAUUGCCAUGCAACUUUCCAUCAUUCCGUUCAUCAUGACACAUUCAUCAUUGUCAUAUUGCUUAGCAUGAUCAUGUAGUUGACAUAGUAUUUGUGGCAAAGCCACCGUUCAUAAUUCUUUCAUACAUGUCACUCUUGGUUCAUUGCAUAUCCCGGUACACCGCCGGAGGCAUUCANNNNNNNNNNNNNNNNNNNNNNNNNNNNNNNNNNNNNNNNNNNNNNNNNNNNNNNNNNNNNNNNNNNNNNNNNNNNNNNNNNNNNNNNNNNNNNNNNNNNNNNNNNNNNNNNNNNNNNNNNNNNNNNNNNNNNNNNNNNNNNNNNNNNNNNNNNNNNNNNNNNNNNNNNNNNNNNNNNNNNNNNNNNNNNNNNNNNNNNNNNNNNNNNNNNNNNNNNNNNNNNNNNNNNNNNNNNNNNNNNNNNNNNNNNNNNNNNNNNNNNNNNNNNNNNNNNNNNNNNNNNNNNNNNNNNNNNNNNNNNNNNNNNNNNNNNNNNUCACUUUCAUAUACUAGUGGGAAUUUUUCAUUAUAGAACUUGGCUUGUAUAUUCCAACAAUGGGCCUCCUCAAGUGCCCUAGGUCUUCGUGAGCAAGCAAGUUGGAUGCACACCCACUAGUUUCUUCUGUUGAGCUUUCAUACAUUUAUAGCUCUAGUGCAUCCGUUGCAUGGCAAUCCCUACUCCUUGCAUUAACAUCAAUCGGUGGGCAUCUCCAUAGCCCAUUGAUUAGCCUCGUUGAUGUGAGACUUUCUCCUUUUUUGUCUUGUCCACAUAACCCCCCUCCAUUAUAUUCUAUUCCACCCAUAGUGCUAUGUCCAUGGGUCGCGCUCAUAUAUUGCGUGAAAUUUUAUAGGUUUGAGAUUACUAAAGUAUGAAACAAUUGCUUGGCUUGUCAUCGGGGUUGUGCAUGAUGAUGGCAUUCUUGUGUGACGAAAAUGAAACAUGACGAAACCAUAUGAUUUUGUAGGGAUGAACUUUCUUUGGCCAUGUUAUUUUGAGAAGACAUAAUUGCUUAGUUAGUAUGCUUGAAGUAUUAUCAUUUUUAUGUCAAUAUGAACUUUUGUCUUGAAUCUUUCGGAUCUGAAUAUUCAUACCACAAUUAAGAAGAAUUACACUAAAAUUAUGCCAAGUAGCACGCCGCAUCAAAAAUUCUGUUUUUAUCAUUUACCUACUCGAGGACGAGCAGGAAUUAAGCUUGGGGAUGCUUGAUACGUCUCCAACGUAUCUGCAAUUUUUGAUUGCUCCAUGCUAUAUUAUCUACUGUUUUGGACAUUAUUGGGCUUUAUUAUCCACUUUUAUAUUAUUUUUGGGACUAACCUAUUAACCGGAGGCCCAACCCAGAAUUGCUGUUUUUUUUCCUGUUUUAGGGUUUCGAAGAAAAGGAAUAUCAAACGGAGUCCAAACGGAAUGAAACCUUUGGGAACGUGAUUUUCUCACCGAAUACAACUCAGGAGACUUGGACCCUACAUCAAGCCAAUUAACAGGAGGCCAUGAGGUAGGGGGGCGCGCCUGCCCCCCCAGGCGCACCCUCCACCCUCGUGGGCCCCCUGUUGCUCCACCGACGUACUUCUUCCUCCUAUAUAUACUCACAUACCCCCAAACGAUCAGAUAUGGAGCCAAAAACCUAAUUCCACCGCCGCAACUUUCUAUAUCCAUGAGAUCCCAUCUUGGGGCCUGUUCCGGAGCUCCGUCGGAGGGGGCAUCGAUCACGGAGGGCUUCUACAUCAUCAUCUAAGCCGGUCCGAUGAAGUGUGAGUAGUUUAUUUCAGACCUACGGGUCCAUAGUUAGUAGCUAGAUGGCUUCUUCUCUCUUUUUGGAUCUCAAAUACAAUGUUCUCCCCCUCUCUCGUGGAGAUCUAUUCGAUGUAAUCUUCUUUUUGUGGUGUGUUUGUUGAGACCGAUGAAUUGUGGGUUUAUGAUCCAGUCUAUCUAUGAAUAAUAAUUGAAUCUUCUCUGAAUUCUUUUAUGUAUGAUUGGUUAUCUUUGCAAGUCUAUUCAAAUUAUCAGUUUGGUUUGGCCUACUAGAUUGGUUUUUCUUGCCAUGGGAGAAGUGCUUAGCUUUGGGUUCGAUCUUGCGGUGUCCUUUCCCAGUGACAGAAGGGGCAGCAAGGCACCUAUUGUAUUGUUGCCAUAGAGGAUAACAAGAUGGGGUUUUUAUCAUAUUGCAUGAAACUAUCCCUCUACAUCAUGUCAUCUUGCUUAAGGCGUUACUCUGUUUUUAACUUAAUACUCUAGAUGCAUGCUGGAUAGCGGUCGAUGAGUGGAGUAAUAGUAGUAGAUGCAGGCAGGAGUCGGUCUACUUGUCUCGGACGUGAUGCCUAUAUACAUGAUCAUACCUAGAUAUUCUCAUAACUAUGCUCAAUUCUGUCAAUUGCUUAACAAUAAUUUGUCCACCCACCGUAGAAUACUUAUGUUCUUGAGAGAAGCCACUAGCGAAACCUAUGGCCCCCGGGUCUCUUUCUCAUCAUAUCAAUCUCCAUCACUUUAUUAUUGCUUUGCUUUUGUACUUUUCCUUUUACUUUUCACUUGCAUCUCUAUACCAAAAAUACCAAAAAUAUUAUUUAUCAUCUCUAUCAGAUCUCACUUUCGUAAGUGACCGUGAAGGGAUUGACAACCCCUAAGCGCGCUGGUUGCGUUGAGCUAUUGUUUUUGUGUAGGUACGAGGGACUCGCGCGUAGCCUCCUACUGGAUUGAUACCUUGGUUCUCAAAAACUAAGGGAAAUACUUAUGCUACUUUGCUGCAUCAUCCUCUCCUUUUCGGGGAAAUCCAAUGCAGUGCUCAAGAGGUAGCACUCUCCUCAUCUUCGGCCUCCGUAUCAGGCAAUAGGUUGUUACAAAUAUUUGCGAGACCAACCAUUCCUAGGUUGUUAAUUUCAUCAUCAUUCAAGGGUUUGAUGGAAGCAAGAUUAUGAGUAAUUUCGGAGGCCCUCUCCGCUUCCAAGUCUAAAAGAUCAUUUACGGAUUUGGCAACAUCGGUUUCAUUGGAUCCCAAAGAAAUUCCUAAGUCAUUAGCCUUAUCCACUAUUUCAUUCUCAGUGAAAUGCAAAAUAGAACAACUUUUAUCAAAAGGCGUACCUGUAUUAGCCUCGGCAUGACGAAGCAUGGCUGCCCUCUUGGCACGCACUAGCUGCAUGCCGUCCGCAUCCGGCUGACCCUGGAUCCGGUUACUGACACGCAUGCCAGCCGUCACCGGAUCCACGAUCCCGCCGAAGGUAAUAAGCUCGUCCACCAUCCUCUCCCGAGAAGCAUGGUCCCGACUCCCACACCCUGCCCCUAACGUCGGUGAAGGAGGGUAGGGCAUGGUCAUGUGGACAUUGCCCUCGGUGAUGAAGGGAGAACAGGACCGUGGAGCUACCUUCUUAGUAGUACCGCUUCCCCCCUCGGCAACACUAUGUCGCGGUCCCUGGACAGCCAGCAUGGUGUGGUCCACCGUAGGAGUUAAGGCCCGGGGCUCCUGCCCGGCCCUCACUCCCAAGUCACCUGAGACCGCCGUGAUAGGAGAGGUGCGACGGACCUCCUGUCCUGACGCCCCUCCCGAAGGGCUCGAGCCGGGCGCGUGGGAGCGGGCGUGGUGAGCCUCCUGCCCACGAACCCCCACUCUCGAGCAGCCCGGCAGCGUCCAUCAUCUCACCUGGCGAGGAACCCGUCCUAAAAGGGUCACUGUUAAUGUGACAAGAUCCCUAUGGUGUCUGCUGAGAAUCUGAAACCUCAAGUGUCGUCGUCGCCUCAUAGAUGGGAACUAGCACCGGCGGGAGCUCCAGUUCUGCCGGGUCAUCCGCCUCGACCCUGGUGCUCCACAACCGACUAGGAGCCGAAAUCGCUCCAAACGAACCAAAGUGAAGGGUGUUAAUCGGAGUAGUAGACGGUGCCACCUCUUUGGCAGAGCUGUCUGCCUUAUCUGGCUUAUCGCUAGGCCCCGUUGCCGGCUCCUGUGGUGAAUUCUCAGACCCCUUAUCUUGAUCCCCGGAGGCUCCGCCUCCCUCAGUUGUGUCCAUGUCCUGAGUCUCAUCCCCAUCCCGUGAAACCGGUGUGUCCUCAAUCUCAAGCUCAAGAACGUAUGUGACUCCAGCAUGUGUCCAACGAACCACAUCUGGUAUAAACUCAACACUCAGCACACCGACCAACAACCUCACAGCCCCAUUUGCGCGAGUGAAAGGCAUGUCUACUUUUUCUGUCUUGCCAAUCAUAGAACCCAAGCUCCAGGCAAUCAAAAAGUGCUUAAUCAGUUUUGGUGGUGCACCAAAGAAAUGUACCCACACCUUCUCCAAAGGUGUACCUUCUGGUUCAUCCGGCUUCCACUCAUCAAAGGCAAUAAUAAUGUUGGUACUUGAAACCCUACAUAAACCCUAAUUACGAAAGUGCAUCUGAUCCUCCUUAGUGGGAAAAUCCACCUUAUAAGACUGUCCCUCCAGCGGUUCUAGAUGCCACUAAUGAUUACCUGGUACCAAGUCACACAGUUGCCUCACAAUCUGAGCUUCGGUCAACUGCCCGUUAGUUACUCGAACCACUGCAGGGAAAGAUCUCUCAACCAUCCAAGGAAGAGGAUCCACCUCCGGUGUCUCAAAGAACAUCAACUCCUUGCAGCAUACACCAUAAAUGUUGACACUAGGUUUGGGACCAGAAAGGAGUGGGCAAUCCCCGGUCACAUGCUGCGACCUGUUGCAGUCGUAAAGCUCAUUAGUACAUUCUGCCACAAAGUGACCCGGUUCACCGCACCUAUAGCAAGGCAACUUCUUCUUUUUAAUUGCCCACUUCGAAAGUUUUUCGCCCUUUGGUUUAUCUGUGUUCUUGCCCGGUCCACCAUCAGUACUCUUAGCAGCCCCAGUGGCCGCCGAAAUAGAAACUGCUGCCAAGGCCCUGACUGUUGACACGUCUCCAACGUAUCUAUAAUUUUUGAUUGCUCCAUGCUAUAUUAUCUACUGUUUUGGACCAUAUUGGGCUUUAUUUUCCACUUUUAUAUUAUUUUUGGGACUAACCUAUUAACCGGAGGCCCAGCACAGAAUUGCUAUUUUUUUUGCCUAUUUCAGUGUUUCGGAGAAACAGAAUAUCAAACGGAGUCCAAACAGAAUGAAACCUUCGGGAACGUGAUUUUCUCAUCAGAUAAGACCCAGGAGACUUGGACCCUCCAUCAAGAAAGCCACGAAGCGGUCACAAGGGUGGAGGGCGCGCCCCCUGCCUCGUGGGCCCCUCGAAGCUCCACCGACGUACUCCUUCAUCCUAUAUAUACCUACAUACCCCAAACGAUCGGGGACGGAGCCAAAAACCUAAUUCCCCCACCGCAACUUUCUGUAUCCACGAGAUCCCAUCUUGGGGCCUGUUUCGGAGCUCCGCCGGAGGGGGCAUCGAUCACGGAGGGCUUCUACAUCAUCAUCCAAGCCCCUCCGAUGAAGUGUGAGUAGUUUAUUUCAGACCUACGGGUCCAUAGUUAGAAGCUAGAUGGCUUCUUCUCUCUUUUUGGAUCUCAAUACAAUCUUCUCCCCCUCUUUCGUGGAGAUCUAUUCGAUGUAAUCUUCUUUUUGCAGUGUGUUUGUUGAGACCGAUGAAUUGUGGGUUUAUGAUGCAGUCUAUCUAUGAAUAAUAUUUGAAUCUUCUCUGAAUUCUUUUAUGUAUGAUUGGUUAUCUUUGCAAGUCUCUUCGAAUUAUCAGUUUGGUUUGACCUACUAGAUUGGUUUUUCUUGCCAUGGGAGAAGUGCUUAGCUUUGGGUUCGAUCUUGUGGUGUCCUUUCCCGGUGAUAGAAGGGGCAGCAAUGCACGUAUUGUAUUGUUGCCAUCGAGGAUAACAAGAUGGUUUUUUUAUCAUAUUGCAUGAAACUAUCCCUCUACAUCAUGUCAUCUUGCUUAAGGUGUUACUCUAUUUUUAACUUAAUACUCUAGAUGCAUGCUGGAUAGCGGUCGAUGAGUGGAGUAAUAGUAGUAGAUGCAGGCAGGAGUCGGUCUACUUGUCUCGGACGUGAUGCCUAUAUACAUGAUCAUAUCUAGAUAUUCUCAUAACUAUGCUCAAUUCUGUCAAUUGCUCAACAGUAAUUUGUUCACCCAGCAUAGAAUACUUAUGCUCUUGAGAGAAGCCACUAGUGAAACCUAUGGCCCCUGGGUCUCUUUCUCAUCAUAUAAAUCUCCAUCACUUUAUUAUUGCUUUGCUUUUACUUUGCCUUUGACUUUUCACUUUGCAUCUCUAUACCAAAAAUACCAAAAAGAUUAUUUAUCAUCUCUACCAGAUCUCACUUUCGUAAGUGACCGUGAAGGGAUUGACAACCCCUAAGCGCGUUGGUUGCGUUGAGCUAUUGUUUUUUUGUAGGUACAAGGGACCCGCGCGUAGCCUCAUACUGGAUUGAUACCUUGGUUCUGAAAAACUGAGGGAAAUACUUACGCUACUUUGCUGCAUCAUCCUCUCCUCUUCGGGGAAAUCCAACGCAGUGCUCAAGAGGUAGCAAGAAGAAUUUCUGGCGCCGUUGCCGGGGAGUCUGCGCAAAAGUCAACAUACCAAGUACCCAUCACAAUCCCUAUCUCCCGCAUUACAUUAUUUGCCAUUUGCCUCUCAUUUUCCUCUCCCCCACUUCACCCUUGCCGUUUUAUUCGCCCUCUCUCUCUAUCCUCCCUCUCUUUCUCUAUUUGCCUCUUUUUGCCCGUUUGCCUUUUGUUUGCUCGUGUGUUGGAUUGCUUGUUUGUCGCGAUGGCUCAAGAUAAUACUAAAUUGUGUGACUUCACCAAUACCAACAAUAAUGAUUUCCUUAGCACUCUGAUUGCUCCUCUUACCGAUGCUGAAUCUUGUGAAAUUAAUGCUGCUUUGCUGAAUCUUGUCAUGAAAGAUCCGUUUUCCGCCUUCCUAGUGAAAUGCCGCUACCCAUCUGAAUAGCUUCGUUGAUUUGUGUGACAUGCAAAAGAAGAAAUAUGUCGAUAAUGAUAUUGUUAAAUUGAAGCUAUUUCCUUUUUCGCUUAGAGAUCGUGCUAAAGCUUGGUUUUCAUCUUUGCCUAAAAAUAGUAUUGAUUCAUGGAACAAGUGCAAAGAUGCUUUUAUCUCUAAGUAUUUUCCUCCCGCUAAGAUCAUCUCUCUUAGAAACGAUAUUAUGAAUUUUAAGCAACUUGAUCAUGAACAUGUUGCACAAGCUUGGGAGAGAAUGAAAUUAAUGAUACGUAAUUGCCCUACUCAUGGUUUGAAUUUGUGGAUGAUUAUACAAAAUUUUUAUGCCGGAUUGAAUUUUGCUUCUAGAAAUCUUUUAGAUUCGGCCACGGGAGGCACUUUUAUGGAAAUCACUUUAGGAGAUGCUACUAAACUCCUAGAUAAUAUUAUGGUUAAUUAUUCUCAAUGGCACACUGAAAGAUCCACUAAUAAAAAAGUGCAUGCGAUAGAAGAAAUUAAUGUUUUGAGUGGAAAGAUGGAUGAACUUAUGAAAUUAUUUGCUACUAAGAGUGUUUCUUCUGAUCCUAAUGAUAUUCCUUUGUCUACUUUGAUUGAGAAUAAUAAUGAAUCUAUGGAUGUGAAUUUUGUUGGUAGGAAUAAUUUUGGUAACAACGUGUAUAGAGGAAAUUUUAAUCCUAGGCCUUAUCCUAGUAAUCCUUAUAAUAAUUAUGGAAAUUCCUACAACAACUCUUAUGGAAAUUUUAAUAAGAUGCCCUCUGAAUUUGAGAGUAGUUUUAAACAGCUUAUGAAUUCACAAAAGAAUUUUAAUACUUUGCUUGAAGAGAAAUUGCUUAAAGUUGAUGAUUUGUCUAGAAACGUUGAUAGAAUUUCUCUUGAGGUUGAUUCUUUAAAGCUUAGAUCUAUUGCUCCUAAGCAUGAUAUCAAUGAGUCUCUCAAAGCCAUGAGAAUUUCCAUUGAUGAGUGUAAGGAAAGAACCGCUAGGACGCGUGCUAUGAAAGAUGCCUUUAUUAAAGCGUGUUCUUCCAAUUCCUAUGAAAAUCAAGAUGAAGAUCUAAAAGUUAUUGAUGUGUCUCCUAUUAAAUCUUUGUUUUGCAAUAUAAAUCUUGAUAAAACUGAAUAUGAUCCACCCUUACCUAUAAGGCGUUCUAAGAAUUCGGAGUAUUUAGAUCUUGAUGAUGAAAUUGAUAAAAGUGGGAUUAAAAGAAAUAAAACCUUAGAUGUUGCUAAACCCACUAUAUUGGAUUUCAAGGAAUUUAAUUAUGAAAAUUGCUCUUUAUUUUAUUGUAUUUCCUUGUUGCAAUCCAUGCUAAAUUCUCCUCAUGCUUAUAGUCAAAAUAAAGCCUUUACCGAACAUAUCGUUGAUGCCUUGAUGCAAACUUAUGAAGAAAAACUUGAGUUGAAAGUAUCUAUCCCUAGAAAACUUUAUGAUGAGUGGGAACCUACUAUUAAAAUUAAAAUUAAAGAUUAUGAGUUUUAUGCUUUGUGUGAUUUGGGUGCUAGUGUCUCUACUAUUCCCAAAACUUUGUGUGAUUUGCUAGAUUUCCGUGAUUUUGAUGAUUGCUCUCUAAACUUGCAUCUUGUGGAUUCCAAUAUUAAUAAACCUAUGGGAAGAAUUAAUGAUGUUAUUAUUGUUGCAAAUAGGAAUUAUGUGCCCGUAGAUUUUACCGCUCUUGAUAUAGAUUGUAAUCCUUCUUGCCGUAUUAUUCUCGGUAGACCUUUCCUUAGAACGGUUGGUGCAAUUAUUGAUAUGAAGGAAGGGAAUAUUAGAUUUCAAUUUCCAUUAAAAAAGGGCAUGGAACACUUCUCUAGAAAUAAAAUAAAAUUUCCAUAUGAAUCUAUCAUGAGAUCCACUUAUGGAUUACCUACCAAAGAUGGCAAUACCUAGAUCUAUUCUUGCUUGUUAUGCCUAGCUAGGGGCGUUAAACGAUAGUGCUUGUUGGGAGGCAACCCAAUUUUAUUGUUAUUCCUUGCUUUUUGCUCCUGUUUAGUAAUAAAUAAAUUAUCUAGCCUCUUUUUUGAUUGUGUUUUUUGUGUUUAAUUAGUGUUUGUGCCAAGUACAACCGUUGGGAAGACUUGGGGAAAGUCUUGUUGAACUUGCUGUAAAAAACAGAAACUUUAGCACUCAUGAGAACUGCUGUCAUUUUUAUUUGGAAAGUGAUAUUUAGUUAAUUAUUUUUGAAGAUGUCUAAUAGAUAAAUUCCUCACUUCCAUCAAUUCAUUUUAGAAUUUUUGGGGGUCCAGAUCUUGUGCUAGCUACAGAUUACUACAGACUGUUCUAUUUUUGACAGAUUCUGUUUUUCGUGUGUUGUUUGCUUAUUUUGAUGAAUCUAUGGCUAGUAAAAUAGUUUAUAAACCAUAGAUAAGUUGGAAUACAGUAGGUUUAACACCAAUAUAAAUAAAGAAUGAGUUCAUUACAGUACCUUGAAGUGGUCUUUUGUUUUCUUUCGCUAACGGAGCUCACGAGAUUUUCUACUUUAAGUUUUGUGUUGUGAAGUUUUCAAGUUUUGGGUAAAGAUUUGAUGGAUUAUGGAACAAGGAGUGGCAAGAGCCUAAGCUUGGGGAUGCCCAUGGCACCCCCAAGAUAAUCUAAGGACACCUAAAAGCCAAAGCUUGGGGAUGCCCCGGAAGUCAUCCCCUUUUUCGUCUACUUCUACCGGUAACUUUACUUGGAGCUAUAUUUUUAUUCACCACAUGAUAUGUGUUUUUCUUGGAGCAUCUUUUAUGAUUUGAGUCUUUGCUUGUUAGUCUACCACAAUCAUCCUUGCUUUACACACCUUUUGAGAGAGCCAUACAUAAUUUUGAAUUUGAUAGAAUACUCUAUGUGCUUCACUUAUAUCUUUUGAGCUUUAUAGUUUUGCUCUAGGGCUUCACUUAUAUCUGUUAGAGCACGGUGGUGGAUUUGUUUUAUAGAAACUAUUGAUCUCUCAUGCUUCACUUAGAUUAUUUUGAGAGUCUUAAUAGCAUGGUAAUUUUCUUAAAAUCCUAAUAUGCUUGGUAUGCAAGAUUAAUAAUAAAACUUUCUUAUGAGUGUGUUGAAUACUAAGAAAAGUUUGAUGCUUGAUGAUUGUUUUGAGAUAUGAGGUAAUAAUAUCAAAGUCAUGCUAGUUGAGUAGUUGUGAAAUUGAGAAAUACUUGUGUUGAAGUUUGCAAGUACCGUAGCAUGCACGUAUGGUAAACAUUAUGCAACAAAUUUGAAACAUGAGGUGUUAUUUGAUUGUCUUCCUUAUGAGUGGCGGUCGGGGACGAGCGAUGGUCUUUUCCUACCAAUCUACCCCCCUAGGAGCAUGCGCGUAGUACCGAGGUUUUUGAUGACUUGUAGAUUUUUGAAAUAAGUAUGUGAGUUCUUUAUGACUAAUGUUGAGUCCAUGGAUUAUACGCACUCUCACCCUUCCAUCCUUGCUAGCCUCUUCGGUACCGUGCAUUGCCCUUUCUCAUUGAGAGUUGGCGCAAACUUCGCCGGUGCAUCCAAACCCCGUGAUAUGAUACACUCUUUCACACAUAAACCUCCUUAUAUCUUCCUCAAAACAACCACCAUACCUAUCUAUUAUGGCAUUUCCAUAGCCAUUCCGAGAUAUAUUGCCAUGCAACUUUCCAUCAUUCCGUUCAUCAUGACACAUUCAUCAUUGUCAUAUUGCCUAGCAUGAUCAUUUAGUUGACAUAGUAUUUGUGGCAAAGCCACCAUUCAUAAUUCUUUCAUACAUGUCACUAUUGGUUCAUUGCAUAUCCCGGUACACUGCCGGAGGCAUUCAUAUAGAGUCAUCUUUGUUCUAGUAUCGAGUUGUAAUCAUUGAGUUGUAGAUAAAUAGAAGUGUGAUGAUCAUCAUUUUCUAGAGCAUUGUCCCAAGUGAGGAAUAAAAAAAAAGAGAAUGGCCAUAAAAAACUGAAGGCCCCCCAAAAAAGAGAAAGGCCAUAAAAAAAAGAGAAGGCCCAAAAAAAUGAGAGAAAAAGAGAGAAGGGACAAUGUUACUAUCCUUUUACCACACUUAUGCUUCAAAGUAGCACCAUAAUCUUCAUAGUAGAGAGUCUCUCAUGUUAUCACUUUCAUAUACUACUGGGAAUUUUUCAUUAUAGAACUUGGCUUGUAUAUUCCAACAAUGGGCCUCCUCAAGUGCCCUAGGUCUUCGUGAGCAAGCAAGUUGGAUGCACACCCACUAGUUUCUUUAGUUGAGAUUUCAUACAUUUAUAGCUCUAGUGCAUUGCAUGGCAAUCCCUACUCCUUGCAUUAACAUCAAUCAGUGGGCAUCUCCAUAGCCCAUUGAUUAGCCUCGUUGAUGUGAGACUUUCUUCCUUUUUUGUCUUCUCCACAUAACCCCCUUCAUUAUAUUCUAUUCCACCCAUAGUGCUAUGUCCAUGGCUCGCACUCAUAUAUUGCGUGAAAGUUUAUAGGUUUGAGAUUACUAAAGUAUGAAACAAUUGCUUGGCUUGUCAUCGGGGUUGUGCAUGAUGAGAGCAUUCUUGUGUGACGAAAAUUAAACAUGACUAAACUAUAUGAUUUUGUAGGGAUGAAUUUUCUUUGGCCAUGUUAUUUUGAGAAGACAUAAUUGCUUAGUUAGUAUGCUUGAAGUAUUAUCAUUUUUAUGUCAUUAUGAACUUUUGUCUUGAAUCUUUCGGAUCUGAAUAUUCAUACCACAAUUAAGAAGAAUUACAUUAAAAUUAUGCCAAGUAGCAUGCCGCAUCAAAAAUUCUCUUUUUAUCAUUUACCUACUCGAGGACGAGCAUGAAUUAAGCUUGGGAUGCUUGAUACGUCUCCAACGUAUCUAUAAUUUUUGAUUGCUCCAUGCUAUAUUAUCUACUGAUUUGGACCAUACUGGGCUUUAUUUUCCACUUUUAUAUUAUUUUUGGGACUAACCUAUUAACCGGAUGCCCAGCCUAGAAUUGCUGUUUUUUUUGCCUAUUUCAGUGUUUCGGAGAUAAGACCCAGGAGACUUGGACCCUCCGUCAAGAAAGCCACGAGGCGGUCACGAGGGUGGAGGGCGCGCCCCCUGCCUCGUGGGCCCCUCAAAACUCCACCGGCGUACUCCUUCCUCCUAUAUAUACCUACAUACCCCCAAACGAUCGGGGACGGAGCCAAAAACCUAAUUCCACCGCCGCAACUUUCUGUAUCCAUGAGAUCCCAUCUUGGGGCUUGUUCCGGAGCUCCGCUGGAAGGGGAAUCGAUCACGGAGGGCUUCUACAUCAUCAUCCAAGCCCCUCCGAUGAAGUGUGAGUAGUUUACUCAGACCUACGGGUCCAUAGUUAGUAGCUAGAUGGCUUCUUAUCUCUUUUUGGAUCUCAAUACAAUGUUCUCCCCCUCUCUCGUGGAGAUCUAUUCGAUGUAAUUUUUUUUUUGCGGUGUGUUUGUUGAGACCGAUGAAUUGUGGGUUAUGAUCCAGUCUAUCUAUGAAUAAUAUAGGUAAAUUGCUCGUGCGUUGCUACGGGGACAUAAAUAUUAUAGGUUAUGUGGACUUAUAUGUGGGUUUUGUUUUCAUUAAUUAAGAUGAUGUGUGGGUUUAUGUAACUAUGAUAUCUAUGAGUUAUGUGUACUUAUGUAACGAUGAUAUUUAUGAGUUAUAUGGACUUAUGACUGGGUUUUCUCUUCAUUGACUAAGAUGAUGUAACUAUGAUAUUAUAUAUAUAUAUAAGACAAUAAUGAGUUAAUAAUUUCAAAUAGAGAAGAUAGCAUCCGCUAUUGCAUCUGCAAUAGCGUCCACUACUGCUCAAAUUAAAUGGCAUUACUUUUUCUUAAUGAUAUAGAAAUAUACACAACAAUAGUGUUUUUACAAAUCCGCUCCGCGGACAUAGCGCCCACAAAUAUCGCCCGCUAUUCGCAUUCCGCUACGCGGACCCCAAUCCGCUACAAGCCCGCUAUCCACUAUUUAAAACCACUUGGAGGUGGAAAACACGAAGAAACAAACUUCGCUUCAACCAACUGAUAUGAAACAAUCAAUUUUCAGUUGACACAGGUGAUUAAAAUGGUAGGAGAAAAUAAGAUACAUGCAUACUCCUGUUAUGGAGAAAUUAGAGCUUAUGAUAUCAAUUCCUACAGGACAUUUUCAAGAAGCAAGAUCCGAGUUUAGUACCUUCAAACACAUUUUUUUUGUAAUAUUGCAAGCUAUGUAGGAUAUCCUACAAAUGACGGAUUGCUAUAGGGUUUUCAUUUUAAUAGUUGAUAGGAUUUACUCUUUAGAGAUGGCAGGUUGCACAUUCAAUUGAAUUCUAUGUUCAAUGCUGUAAAUUGCUUUAAAAUUGUAUUGGGAAUUUUAUCUAUGCCACCACAAGCGCUUAUAGUAGAAUGCAGUUUACCUCUUUCCCAUCCCGGAUUUCAUCAUCUUGAAACUGAGCCGACCAACCAUGUUAUCAGCGACCACAGAUUAAGAACUUAAAAAUGUGUGUAUGGUCACCCACCGGCAAUUGCCGUUAGUAUAAUAACUAAUUUUCAGAUAAUAACUAAUUUUCAGAUAAUUCUUUGCCUCCCACCGGCGCCGGUCCGUCCCAUCUUCAGUGGCCUUAGGGUCAUGGAGGCGCAGUGGAUCUCGGCCCUUGCCGGUGGGAGGGCUCCGUUUUCAUAUCUUUUUUCGAGCUUUGUUAGGGUUUGUGCCCUGCUCAGAAAGGCGAGACAACGGCGACUCCCUGAAGAUGGAAUAAAGGUCUCCCCGUCUAGUCCCCGUUCCGGUGAUGCGUGUAGCAUCAUCGGUGGACGUGUGGAGGUGUGUUUUCGGCGGAUCUGUCUUUGAUGGAUUUGCUCGGAUCUGUUCACCGUUCGUCUUUGUUCGUGUGUCUUCAGGUUGGAUCUUUUUGAUCUAUACUCUUCAUCCGCGGCGGUUGCUGUUCUGGUGCGUUGGUUCUAUGGGACCUUAGCACGAUGACUUCCCGAUUGUCUACUACAAUAAGGUUUGCCCGGCUCCGGCGAGGGAGGGGCGAUGACAGCGGCGCGCCUUCGGCUCGCUUCAGUGCUUGUAAUCGUCGCUAGGUGGUCUACGGAUCUGGAUGUAAUUUUUAUUAUUUCUACUGUUCAUUGUACUAUCAUGAUUGAAGAUGAAUAGAAUGAAAGUUUUUCUCGCAAAAAAGAGAGAAGAAUAUUGGUCUAGUAACUAUGAAAUCAAUGCAUGGAGAGAGCACAAUAGUAAAAAUGCCAGGUGUGACCAAGUAGCAAGCAACACGGAGACAUACCAUACACAGCAGUAGCCGAGACAGCAGCUGCCUGCAAAUCCAUUAAAAUGCAGCUGAUUACGAGCCACAGUGGGGUCUUAAAAAAUAUUCAGGGAUUUUCUCUAUAGGCUCUGGACUGGUGAAUUAUGCCCGGAGGUAACGACUUGUUGAACAUAUAGAAAAUAUCUUCUUUCUUAACAGCGACAUAUAGAAAAUUUAGAGAUGUUUCUGCAUAAUAUACCAAUAUCUAAUUCAUUUCUGAAAUGUUUUGUGGGGGAUAACUUACUUUUGGGUCACUAUACAACUACGGCCAAUUCAAUGAAAACUGAAAAAGGAAGGAAAGUCCAGGUUCAGUAAACGCACAAAAAGAGUCAGAACACCUAUAUUUCUACCUGGAUAUGGGUUCGUCAGGUUUCAAGAUUUGUUAUGGGAUUCACUGUUGACAAUGGACCCAAGCGUCCACCAGCUGUACUGACGUGCGCCUGACGUGAAAUACAUGAAGAUGUCCAAACAACCAGCUCCACACCACACCAUCAGGCUGUCUGCACAUGGUGUCAUGGUUGCCACCAGUGAUUCCAGGCAGGAGCAGCACCGCCGUGAUGCUCAUGGCUGGUCACCAAUAUCGGCUUCAUCUAGCCUUAUUGCCAGCAAGCCAAAGACAACGAUGCAGCAAGCAACAACGUCUUGACUUACUGCAUCUUCGUUGUUGACCACCGCUCUCCGAUGAAGGCUGAUCCCAUCCUUGACCAGCGUGCCCGAGGCACAGCUCCCGACGGCCUCUUCGCCAGGUACACGACGGUGGCCCUACCGAUCGAGAAGGCGGUGGCCAGCGGCAUCGGGUCACCGGAUUUAUCGAUCCAGCAGUUGAGAGAUCCCAUCACAAUAGUUCGGAGGCGGGGGAUGUGGGGCAGGGCGGCGCAAGCAGGCAGGGAGAGGUACUAAGCAAAGGAAAGCUACGUGUUUUUAGAUAGCAGAGAUUAGUACCACCUCGGGUAUAGAAAAAAUAUAGGUGAAGUGGAUGGACGAUGACGGACAAAAAACGGACCAAAUUACGGUGGUAAGAAGCAAUAACCCCUUUAUUAGUAGGUAUAGAUAUAGAUUCAAAACAUAUUAAAAAAAUCAAAACAAUCUGAAACUUUGGGACAUCGAACAUCAUGAAACUUUUGAUGAUCUUGUAAAGUUUUAGCUAAAAAUAAUAUUCGAAAAGCACUCAAAUAAAAAAAACAAAAUCAUUGUUCAAAGUUUAUGUACAUUUUUGAGCAGUGAUUUUUUUUUGGUGAGGGCUCCACGAAGGUUAUUUGUUGCUGAAACUUUGCAGGAACAUCAAACGUUUGAUAAUAUUUGAUCCCUGAAAGUUUCAGAUUUUUUUGAUUUUUUCUCAAUUUUAUAUGGAUUUACUGUUCAUAAGGGUGUAGGGGCACCCGAGAGCUGUUGGACAUUUCUCUUCUGCAAAUGACGACUUCAGGGGCCGAGCGACGACCCUGGACACAUCUUCAAAUUCUCCAUUUUGUUGUUACUGCUAUUGGUUAACAACUACUGAGUUGCUCAAGUAAGCUUGAGAGAUAUAACAAAAUUGCUCAUACAUCUUCGUGUAUGCCUUCCAUGCCUAGUUCUCUCCGAGUUCCAACUCCAAUCACUUCCGCCCAUCUCGAAUGAACUCAACGAGAUGAUAGUCUUAUCACCAACAAAACAAAAAAUAGAUACAAACUUCGGACCACCACAAAUAAGACACUCGUUAAGAGAUCCUAAAAAACCAGGUGAACAUGCGGCCAAAUCAGAUCCUAAACUUUGAGACCAUUUGAUACGAUUAGGUAGCUGGCCACACUAGCAACAUAUCAAAUAUGACUGUCUAUAAACUAGUGUAAAUCUCAAACUCCCAACACCUUUAUAUUGACAUAUGGAGGUGGCCGGGGUGGAAUGAUGUGCUUUGGUUGGUAUCUUUGUGAAUGAGUGCAUGUAAGCGCAUUGCAAUUGAAGAGAGACAUGUACGCCAUUUAAAGGCUAAGGCGAUGGUACUGAAAGCCUUGCAAGGUUGAGAUUUAAAAAAAAAACACAGUACAGACACAUAUCCUCAAAUACACGCACACACACUCAUCUUUAUGAAGGCACUUACGCACACCAUACCCCUACGAUUACCUACGAGAGACUGGGCCGACAAAUCUUGAGACUGAUGAAUUUGUCAUAGACGCCUCGUAGUUGACAAGAGAUGCCAUACCGCUGAAAGUGUAGUGCCAGAAAUCCUGGAAUAAAUCCAGAAAAUUGCGACCACCCAUGUCAUGUCGCCAUUUGACCUAAGUCAGUUUGCCAAUUGGUUGAGAUUUGGUUUUGUUUGGCAUCGUCGAGAAUUUUCAUGACUUGCUUUGCCUAUAGUGUCCUUCAAAAUUGAGGGCCUGUUUUGGCAAUGGGAGUGUCAUGACUAAAUCACUUUAUUUUCUAGGUAUUAUAUUUAUAUGACAUAGUUGAUGAAGCAUUGGACAUUAGAGAUGGUUGACAGGUCCCCAUUUUAAAUGUGAUACUCCAUGAGACAUCAUGAUAAUAUUUUUGCACAUGCGGUGGCAUUUUCAGUGCAUAAAUAAAUAAUUUUGGAAAUGCGAUUUUUUUUGAAAAUUAAGAAACAAAUAAAAAAUGCUUAUAGAGGAAUUCUUAAAUCAUUGGCUUUGUUAUUAACUUACUAGGGAACUAUUGGACUUUUUGUAAAUAAAUAAUGCACUCUCUAGAACACCAAAAUUUGCACCUGUAGUAGGGCCAAGCGAAAAAAAAGAGUAACAGACCAAAUGGAACAUACAUAAGAUUGUGCAUCUUUGCACAGAUAGUAUGGCAGCGUUCUAAACCUUUCUGUCCUUCCUAAGAUUCAAUAUUUACAACCCGAACACAAGAUGCAAGGCAAAAUUAGGUUUUUGGCUGGAAGUGUUUCUGAAUUUGUGUGGUGGAACCCUGAAUUCUAAGGUGCAGUCUGAAUGAUUAUGCGCCAUCUCCUCUCCCAUGAUUGGUUUGGUUUGUCCAUUAUUAUCUGAAUCUUAAUCAGUUGACGGACAAGAUUAUACAUUGUCUUGAUUUCUCGAGAUGUUCUUGUGAUCUGAAGAAAAUCGAGGCCUACAACAACCCGCAGGUUUCACAUCGUCACCAAACACCUCCGUCAGAAUCGUAGCACGCGAGAUGAACAAACAAACAUUCUGGUACUGCUUCGUGUUUGUUUCCUGUCCUUCCGUUCGUUGCUGAACUUGUCUAUCUGUUCUGAACUUCUGGUACUUCGAACACUGACGCGAAUGUCUGAAACUUUCUGUGUGCACUGCAGGGCGACGAGUGAAGCGGCUCGCCAAGCAGCAGCAGCAGGGGGGAGGGGGUCUCUGGAACGUCGCCGUUGCCGCUUAUUGCCACUGUCACUGAUCGAUGAUGGAUGUUCGCUGUUAGUUAGCUCCUGGGCAGUCCCUCCCUCUCUUUCAGGCUGCUGCUGGUAGAAAUGGUAGCUCUAGUCCUAGUCCAUGUAGUCGUUGUCCUGUAUCAAAGUGGGGAAGUUGCUAGCCGUCCUCUGUUGCUUCCUUUUUUAUGUUAAUUCAGUCUCUGUCGAGUGUACCUAGUGUCGUGCCCGUGGCUGUUUUAAGAAUCCUACCAUAGAUCUCAAUAUAUAU